CGAUAGCAAAUUUCAAAAAAGCUUUCAUUUCUGUUAUCCUUAUCUCUUCAAAUCUUCUAUGGAGACUCUUCAAGCUGGGUGUCUCGGCCAUUUCUCCUCUUGUUCACAUUGAAUAUGGGUGAAAACUGCUCCCUUUAGGUACUUUUCUUCUCCUUUUCUUAAUUCUUCUUUUGCAAGUUCGUGGGCAUAAAUAUUCCCUGAUCUUUGAACAAUUUGGAAGUUGAUUUCUUGGAAAUGUUGUUUUUCACUUUGAAUGUCUCGAAUAAUCGCCCUUAUAACUGAUUUAUCUGUCGCUGCUGAGUUGUAUUUUUUUAUGACCGCUUUUGAAUCUCCUAUGAUAUCUACUGAUUGAAAACCCAUUGAAAUCCCUAACUUUACUGCUUGUAACCCUGCAUGUGGCUCUGCCAUGAACGGAGACGGUAUUGUGGAAUGGAGGACUGUCUUUGAGGCUAAAAACUCACAUCUCCCUCCACACCACCAAACCUGAGGCUUAUUUGGAGUAUUUACCGUCAAAAGCUGCAUCAAAAUAAAUUGCUACUCUCGCAUUUCUUUCUUCCUGUCUCUAUCUUCUACUAUCGUUUGAGGUAAGUGGCUUUUUUUCCACCCCAUCGAUCUCUACUAUAUAACUUUGGAUUCGGUUCGAUAAAUCUCUUCCUGUUAUUAUUUUCCCCUCGUGAACUAACUGGUUUCUUGAACUCCAUAUUGUCUAAACAGCAGAGCAAAAAAGUCGACAUUGUUUGCUGUUACCCAUGGUGAAGACCCAAGUAAGCCAUUUCCACAAAUCUUGAAUAUUAGUAUUAAUGACCCAUGAUAGAUUUAUGUUUUACCAUGUCUCUGUUGUUGUAGGGCAUUGUAUGAAAACAUGGUUGCUAUCUUCUUCUGCAUUUCGACACCGAGGACAGGAAAUAUCUACAGCCACUCUUUUGAAUCUUAGAUUUGUUAAAGUAGGAAUAAAGUUCUAGGAAAUACGUCAUAUAGUGAUAGCAAUUUUUUAUGGGAGAUGUAAAGUAAAAUUUUUUUGUUUCGGCCUGUAUAAAAUAAGCACUAGGAUCCAUAAUAACCUCUUGUAAUAGUUUGUAGGCACUUCUGACUGAAAAUUCGCAAGAAUGUUCUCCUCGCCAAACUUGGAAAUCAUCAUGUUCUUCUUCUGCCGGAGGAAUUUGCAAAAUCUUCUGUGUUGUAUCCGCUUGAAAGGUAUUAACUCUUAGAUCUAUCUUUCAUUUUCUUGUUGAAGCAUCAAUUAAAUCUAAAACUAACUCUACUUCUGCAUUGUUAGAAUUGUCAUUGAUUCUCUCUGUCAACUCUCGGUACCCACCGGUCGUUCCAAACAGAUACAUGAUCUCCCCUACCGACUUGCCAACAUAAGCUAUCUUUCAGUAACCCUUUUGCUGCCCAAACGCUCUUUCAGGUAAGAAAAGGUAAAUUCCCUAACUGUGCAUUAAUAAAGUUUGAAUUUGGGUAGUAUUUGGCUUUUAAGUCCUUUGCUAAUAAAGAAUUUUGAAAAUUAAUAAGGCGCCAACCUUGCUUGGCUAAUAAAGCGAUAUUAAAUUGACCAAGAGUUUGAAACCCCAAACCACCAUUUUUUUUGUGGUACAAAGAUCCUUCCAAGCUUACCAACGAAUGCCCCUUUUGCCACGAUCUUUUUGCCACUAGAAUUUUGCAGUAAUACUCUUAAGAUCAACACAUAAAUAUUUAGGUAGUAAAAAAUAGGCCAUCGUAUACAUCGGAAUAGCUUAAAGAAUGGCCUUAAUAAAAACUUCUUUCCCAUAUUGAAUGGCCUUAAUAAAAACUUCUUUCCCAUAUUGAAUGAGAUGCUGAAUACUCUAGUUUUCAUUUCGUUGCUUAAAUCUAUCCUUUAAGUUUUGAACAAGCUCUUUCUUCUUUCUGCCCACCAUAUUAGGUAAUCCAAGAUAACAUUCUGGAUCAUUUGAGCUUCGUACUCCUAAUGUGCGAGUAACUAAUCCUCUUUCUUCCUCUUGUGUAUUAGUGUUAAAGAAAAUAGUUAACUUCUCAAAAUUGACGCACUAACCUGAAUAGGUUCCAUACUCGCGUAGAAUUGUUUUCAAUAAACAAGCUCUCCUUUCAGUAGCAUCUCCAAGUAAAAUGCAAUCAUCAGCGAAUAACAAUAUAAUACUUGUGGCCCUUUUUACUAGCUUUAACCUUUUUUAAUUGUCCUUCUUGAAUUGCCAAUCUCAUAAGACAAGAUAAGCCUUCUCCAUAGAUCAGAAAUAAAUACGGGCUCAAAGGAUCACCUUGUCGUAAUCCUCUCGUUGGUUGAAAACUUUCCCCAGCUUAACCAUUAAGUACCACUGAAUAAGAAACAGUAGAUACGCACUUCAUAAUACAAGCAAUCUAGCUAGGGUCAAAACCCAUUCUCAUUAUCAUCUCCUAUAUAAAAUUUCAUUCAACUCUAUCGUACGCUUUACUCAUGUCGAGUUUAACUGCUAUCAACCUCUUUUUUCUAAAUUUUUUUCGUUUUAGAGUGUGUAAAAUUUCAUAUGCCAAUGAUACAUUAUCCGAGAUUAACCUUCCUAGCACAAAAGCACUCUGUGUGCCAUCGAUGCAUUUUUCCAAGACUUCUCUAAGUCAAUUAGUAAUAGCCUUUGCCAUUAUUUUAAAAAUGACAUUGCAUAAGCUAAUAGGACAAAAAUAAGUGAGAUAGGUCGAAUUUGCUCUUUUAAGAAUAAGCACAAUAUGAGUAGUAUUAAUUGGACUAAGCUUCGUACCUCCAUUUAGAUGUUGAAGACAGAGAAGUGUGACCUCUUCCCCAAUGAUAUACCAGCAUUUCUGAAAAAAUAAGGUCGGAAACCCAUGUGCUUUUGUAAGCCCCAUUCUAGUAAGCACUUCCCAAACCUCUUCCUUUGUAUAUUGCACCGUGAGUCUUUGAUUAUCCUCUUCAGAUAUACAACGUUCAAUACCCGAUAAGAGAUGUUCAUAAUGUCCCUUUUCCCUAGCUUCAAAUAAAUUUUGGAAAUAAGAUUUAGCAAUUUCUGCCAUUUCUUGUAUAUCCUCCGUUUCCCUUCCCGUCAUAUUCUAUAAUUUUCAAAUACAAUUUUUCCUUUGUCUUUGUGUUGCUUGACUAUGGAAAAAGGUUGUAUUCCUAUCCCAAAAUUUCAGCUAAUUAACUCGAGCUCUUUUCUCCCAAUAUCUUUCAUCAUUCUCAAUCUCAAAAUUCAAUUGCAAUUUUGUAUCAAUCAGCUUUGCUAAAUUAUUAUCACUCAUUUUGGAUUCCAUCACCUCAGACAGCUUUGAGGAUAAAAAUUCUUUUUUCCGUUUUCUAGACUGACAAAUGCGUACAGCCCCUCUCUCUUAGCCUUUUUUUAGACAAUCCAGCUUUUGUAGUAAACCUUCUGAUGUCGUUUCCCAAAUGAGUUUUAUUUUAGCAUCGAAUAACUCCUCCAAGACCCACCAUGUCUCGAAUUUAAAUGUUUUCCAACUCCUAUUGUCUUCUGUUUUCGUGAUAAUUAGAAGAGGACAAUGGUCAGAGAACGAGUGCACCAGAUGUUAAAUGGUAGCUUCAGGGAAUAUAGACAUUCAAUUCUCGUUAGCCACACCUCUGUCCAAAUGCUCUUGGAUAUUUGUUUCAGGAAAAUUUCCUCUCUCCCAAGUAAACCAAUUACCAGAAUAACCCACAUCCGUCAGAUGACAAUCUUCUAGAACAUUUCGAAAUACUUCUAUUCUUCUUUUGUCUCUAGGCAACCCUCCUUUCUUUUCAAAGCUAUACAUAAUUUCAUUAAAAUCUCUACAAACAAUCCAAGGGAAUUCCUUAUUGCUAUAUAGAUUUUUUAAUAGAUUCCAUGAUUCAUCCCUAUCUUGUGUGUAACGGGAACUAUAAAAUCUUGUAUAUCUCUAUUUUUUCCAUCGUCAGUAUCUUCAAUAAGCACGUCAAUGUGCCUUUUUGAAAAAUUUUGAAGUGUGAUGGUAGCGUCACCUCUUCAAGCCAAACAUAAACCUCCUCUAGAUCCAUCGGGGUCCACAUCAAUGCCAUUACCAAGGCUAUAGCUUCUUCGCACUCGUUCUAUUUGAAUUAUGUUUAUCUUUGUCUCCAUGAAGAAGACCAUCUAGGGAUUAUAUUUUUUCAACGUAUGCCAAAGCUUUCGAAUUGUUCGUGGGUUCCCCAAACCACGGACAUUCUAACUUAAAAUUUUUAUUGCGAUCGGUCAGUUUACUUUUUGGCAACCUCCGAUGAUAAAAAAGUAUUGUCCAACAUCCUCUUAUUUCUUGCUGUUACAGUAUUGCCUUCUUCUCUUAUUGUAGGGUAUUCACUUUCCCCCUAGGCAUUUUUUUCCUUCCUCUCCAAUUAGCACCCUUUCCUCCAAAUCAUGUUUCAUUACAGAGUGGGUCUGUUUGGCCAAUAAAUUUUCCCCCCAUUGUGAAAAAGAGGGUAAAUUAACUUCAAAUUGAACCUCAAGACAGGGUCGAUAGAUACUCUAGUUUUUGACUUAUUUCUAUUUCUUCAUGGCCUGUAUUCUAAGUUGUGUUCGCCAUAGAGAUUUCUACAUGUGUCGUCUUCUUCAUCUUCAAUUAACCAAUUACUCUUCAUUACCAAAGGCUUUUUGGGUUGCGCUCGUAAAGAGAAGUUCCAACCCAUCACCACAACUUCCACCUCUAACGUCAUUUUUGCCUCACAAAAAGAAUCACUAUGAUCCAGCUAACCACAAUAGAAACAAAAAAGAGUCAGCCCUUCAUAUUUUAAUAUGACUUAGGAACACUUCCCUGAGAACAUAACCUGCUUUUUCCUCUUUAAUGUGUAAUGGACAUCCAAUUGAACUCGAAUUCUCAUAAAAUUCGUAUUAGCUUUCCCUAGAUUUGAACUAUCAUGGGCCAAAAAUUUUCCUAAAAAUUCACCUAGUUGCAUUGCCAAACUUUCAGAAAAAUACCCUAUUGGAAUAUCAUGGAUCUGUACCCAAAAAGGCGAAAAGAUUAAAGGGAUUUUCAAUGGAUCCUCCCCCCAUUGUAGUAUGUAUAGAACCAAUAAAUGAUUAUUAAACGUUCAUGGAAAGCCCUUCAGAACUCUGUCGAUAUCCAUAGCAUGAAAAAAUUGAAACAAAAAUCAUCUUUCUCCUAGAUUACGGAUUUGAACGCCUCUAACUGGGUGCUAUAAGUUCGCCAUGGUGCUUUUCAUUGCUAGGAAAUGAAUAACACUAGCUAUUAAAAAGCAUCCCACCAGUCGAAAAGUACUUUCUUCCUUUUCCAAACCCGGCUCAAUUUGUGCUUGUAAAACUGUUUCUUCUUCUUCAUCAAACGUUAAUUCGGCAAAUUCAUUUUCCAUUAUUGCAUGCUAGAGAUUAAGCCCCAUUGUGUGCUAUCCUGAAAGAUGAGAAGAGAUUCUAAUAGACUGCUGUAACCAAAAUUUAACUUUGAACAAAAUAACCCAAAAAACUUAAGAACAUGUAAGAGAGGCAGAUGCAUGCGUGUUAGGGUAGCAGAAUUUUUAGUUAGCUCACUUUUAUUUUGGGUUUUUAGUUUUUAUUUAUUUACAUAAUAUGUUAUAAAGUUAUGUUUUGAAGAUUGUAAAAUCGUGAAAAAUGUGUUUUUUUCCUUAUUUUAACAUAUGAAGUGAUUGUUGUCUCUAAAGAUUUGUUUUACAUGAAGGCGCAAAGUAUAUUUUUAGUUUUAUUAACAUGGUUUUUGUGUGUUUUAAUGAGCUUGAAAUCUUGAUGCAAUGAGCUUACUACUGUCAUACAAGGUUUUUGUUAGCUUGAUCAUAUAUUGUAUAAAGUUUAUGUUAUUUUGGAAAAAAGUGUAGAUAAACCUAUGAUGAAUCUGAAGAUGAUUUUUCUUUUUCUUUUUCUUUUUUGAUGUUAUAAUGCGAAAUUGAUUAGUGCAUGUAAUAUUACAUUGCACCUGAUCAAUUGGUUAACAUGUUAUUAUUAUCAUUUUUAUGUGAAAUUAGAUUUUUAUAGGUUAUUUAAUCUUUUAAAGUGGCUAAAGAUCUUUAGAAUUUGAUUUGUGAGAUUUGGAAGUACCAAAUCUUGAAGAGACAACAUGAAAAAGAAAUUCAAACUUAGACAUUAGAUGCUAAUUCAAUUAAAAAUUAGGCAAAGAAAAGAAUAAGAAAGGAGAAACAAAUUGAAAUAACUUUUUCUUGGUGGGCAAUUUUUGGAUCUUAGAAACAUGAAAUUUUAACUAACAUUAGAAAAAGAUUCAUAGGAACAAAAUCAAGAUUGAAAAAAAAUUAGGUAGCGACUGAAAAGAUAGAUGUGAAGAUGAACAAAAGGCGAUGUAUGAUGGAAACUUUUGAAGAAAAACUUCAUCAAACUCCACUAAAGGUUCUAGCCAACCCUCUAAAAAAAGUCUUAGCAAACCGAAGUGUGAAAAACAACAACCUUGAUUCAUGAAAAGAAAUAGAGUUGCAAGUACUUCUAAAAAGAUACAAGAAAAAAAUCUUGCAAAAAGAGAACUCUAGAAGUUAUUAUUCAUAAAAGAAUGAAACUAAAUCAUGUACAUAGAGGGCGUGAAUUGCCUUUUAUAUGUGAAAACUAGGAUAAAUUGAGUCCUAAUCACACUCAAAUUACCUAAAUCUCCAAUAACAGGUAAAAACCCUACAUGAUUAUAACUUAACCUAAUAGGAGGAAAUUUGGCUAGCCUAUAUGUAUAGGCUAUUUGAACCAAAUUUUUAACUAGGAAAUAUCAAAUAACUUAAUAAAUAAAUUGCCUAUAAUGAGCCAAUUAACAAACAUGCCAAAAUAAAACUUAAUAAAAUAAACUAAGUCUUAAAAGAAUAAAACACUCAAAAUGGGUUGUUCUUCAUAGGCUCGACAUUGUGCGCUGAUUUGCACAAUAAUGCACAUAAACUAAGCUUGUUAACAUCCUCCAAAUGGGUUGGUCAUCAUGGAUUGCAUUCUUGAGCCCAAGAAUGGGUUUGUGGCCUUCUGAUUCACCCUCUUUGUUUAAGAUAGAUCAAAUUCUAUCAUUUUGAAACAUUAACUCGUUUUCUUGCAUACUUUUGGUCAUAAGGUCUUGAAUGAGCAUAUUAAGCUCAAACUUAAACUGUUUGGACUUGCAUAUCAUAAUUGAGCCUUGAGAAAAAUGAAGUCUAUCUUCAUCAUGGGCUUGAGAUUAGGCCUUGGAGCUCGUAUCAUUCUCCAUUCCUCAAAACGAUUCAUCCAUGAAUCUACAAUGUCCAAGGGAGAAAGAUUAGUCACAUUAUCUCAUGCUUAGUCCCUUUCUUAUCAAAAAGUCUGCAAAAUCUUAAUUCUUGAACUCACACUUGUGAUCAAUUUUAAUCCUCUUAAUCAUUCCAAUGACAUGGCCUUUAUCAUUCAUAAAGCCUCUACAAAGUUUUCUAAAUUCAUCAGAGGUGCUAGAUUUGUCUCUAAGGAAUCUUUCCCAAGAAAACUUGAAAAUCCAUCUACACAAAUAAGCACAUAACGUUUUUCACUUAUGCCGAAAAAUAGUGGUGUCAUUGUUUGAAUGUGAACCAAUUUUUUAUGCUUUUCCCUGUGUUGCUUGCCUUUUAAAGAGUUACCACACACUUAAAGAAUGGAGCCACUCAGCUUUAGAAUCCCUCUGAUAGAAUCAUAUCGAACUAGCCUUUAAAGUUUAUAAUAGUUUAUAUAGUCAAGCUUCUCGUGCCAUAACUUUGGUCUGAAACAUUAGCAUUAUUGCAUUUGAUAGAUUGAAUCACUCUAUAGUAGUUGUAAAAUGUGUGAGCCCUGUAAUGCCCUCAACUCGACCUGGUUCUCUAGGUCCGAAUCUCAAGUGGUACUACACACAAUACUUAACCAAAUAUCAAAUAGUUAACAAACAUUCCUUGCUUAAAACAUUUUACUUAUUAAUUUAAUUAAGAAACUUGAGCUCUAAGAAUAAGAGACAGUAUUAAAAAAUAAAAUUUUAAUCCAAACUUGUUACAACACAUUACAGUAUAAAGUUUGUGAAUGGCAGAAUCUUAAGGUGUAACGUUAAACUACACUACUUCUCCCUUGUAUGCAUAAUAUUCCAAUUUUCCACUAUUCUGGCGUACUCUUGGAAUUGUCCCUCCUAGCGUAUUCUCAUACCAUACCCAUGAAACAACAACAAACAUUGUAAGUUCAAAAGAACUUAGUGAGCUUUAUCAUAAUAAUACCUUAGCAGAUAGUUUAUAAGAUUGGAAGAACAUCAGUGUGCUAGUUACCCUUCUGAACCACUUACUUCCAUUUUAGGCAGAUACAAUUCUGGCAUACACUUCCACACCAACUAUCAUACUCUUGAUAUACCAGUUCUUUCUUAAUAGUCUAACUGAAGAUCCUUUUAGACAUUUCAUAAAUCGUACGCACUUCUCAAAAGAAUAUACCUUCAGAAUCAAAUUUAUAUAAAUCAUUUCUUAACACACAAACUUAUCCUAGAACAGUUGUUCAUAGAUAUUAAUCACUAGCAGAUACAUACACAUUUGGUGAAUACUUACGCAGAUCUGAAUACCAUCAAACUACUAAUCAAAUCAUACAUUGGUUCAAUACCAUACAAACUCUCACUGAUAAUGUACUACACAGAUAAUUCAGAUGAAUUCCACAUCACUUUAUUUAGGAACCUCAGAUACUCAAGAUAGCGAUAACUCAGAUUCAAUAUACUUUCAGAAGAAGAUAUUAUACAACUCAGACAUAAUAGAUUCCAAAUAACUCAGAUUCAACCAUUUCCUAACUCAGACAAACUUGAAUUGACAAUUUCUUAUGUCUUUCAUAACCAUGAAUACACCUAUUUUCAAAACAAACAAAUUGCCAGGGUGGAUAUCCUUUUUAACUUGCAGAUACACACUUCUUUUCAGAACUUCCUUAUCUAAUUCAACCAAAUUAACCUUAGAUAUUCCAUGACCUUAUCAUAGAAGUAUCUAUCACAGAACAAUCAGAAACUACCAAAAGGAUGGAUAAGCAUACCUUGCUAAACAGAUUUAGUAGAGUGCGUCAUAAGGGCCAAACAGAAUACGCCAUAAAGGCAUCAUACAGAUUCAUGUGUUUAUUAUCCCAGCGGACUUUCAUAGAAGGUGUCAUGGGUGUCUCCUUCAUUGACUUAUACAUAAGUUCAUGUAUCGUGAUAUACCCAUUCAAUUUACACAUCAUCGAAGGUUACACCAUGAACAUUCAUACAGAUAUAUCUUGCCAUGGGUCUUAACCACAUGGCUUUGCACACAUUCAUGUAUCGUGAUCUAUCAAUCUAGUCUUCAUUUUACUGGAGGCUACACCAUAAGUGUUUCCAAAUCAUAUCACGAUAUCAUGGGUAUCAACCUCAUGGUCUUACACUUGCUUUCAUAUCGUGAUCUACCAACUGGUUAGCAAUCUAACUGUCCUACCAGACACUUCAGAAAGGGACAUUUCCCAUAAUUUAAUUACCUAGAUUUAUUUGCAUUCUAGAUUGUCUCAUACAUUUCAUAUCUUAAAUUUUACUUGCAUACUUAUCAAUCAACAUUCACCUUCAAUAAAACUUAUUAUAUAUCAUCAUAGCACUUAUUUCCUCUUAACUAUACUCGUACACUUACCUCUUAUUAUAAAUGCCAUCAUCUUAUAUACAUAUAUAUAUACAUUUUCUUAUACUUGAAAAGUUUAUAUAAGAAAGGGUGAUACCAUCUUAAAUUUGCACGAUUUUUUGUCUUUAAAUCGAUUAAUUAUUGAAUUAAUCCCUGCUAAAUUAGUGAUUUUAUAUUUUAAUUCUGUCAGGAAUGCAAUUGGGAUGCUAUGAGUCAAAAACAAGCAGAAAAUGACCAAUUUGCAGCACAGUCAAUAAAGUGAGGCCAAAUCAGGAACUUGGAAAUAAUCAAGGACUUAUCAAAUUUCUUUUGACCUUCUAAAAGCUAAAAUUAGAAGAAAAUCUUAUUUUAUUUUUAUUUAAUUCUAAUUUUUUGUAGUGGGUAGUUAGGCCAAAUUUAGUAAAUUAUUUGUAUAUAAAUAGGGCAUUUGUGGUAGCUUGAAAACACACUUGAAUUUACUUAAACAAUUAAAUUAAAUUAUUUUUCCCUUCCAAUUUUAUACGUGUAGCAUACUGCCAUUUCAUUUCCAUUUGCUUGUUUCUUUAGUUUAAUUGCUUUCCAAAUCCCUUCCUUUUCUAACUUUCACCAAUUUUCAUUCAAAUCCACUCCAUAUCUAAUCAAAGCGUGAUUAAUUUCAUGCUUCAUUAAAUUCUAACUUAGCUUUAGGCCGGUAUUCUUUCCGUUCAAAAAUUGUGAGAUACGUAUUUGUACUAAAAAUCCUUCCAAUCGGUAUUCACUAUUUCUUCUAAAUAUCAGGAUUGAGAAAUUCAUCCCUUAAAGUUAAUUCGAUUUCUAAUCAAAAAGUGCGUUGGGUUGGAGUCGUAUUUACAAACAGUUGGAGAAACAAGUCGUCCGUGCUGUAUUUAGAUCUCCGAGAACAAAUCAAAUGAGAUAGUGAUCAGGUUUAAAUGUCUCGCGUGGUUGAGGCCAUUAAUCCAAGUUGGGUUCUUUAGAGCGCAAGGUUACCGGAAUCUUGAAUGGGGAACGCGUAUAUCUCGGUUAGAUAAUCGGUAAAGGUUGGUUUGCAGGUUGUACCGGGACCAACUACGAGAGGAAAAAUUGGUGGUUAAAACAUUUUUAGUCGCUAUAACCAGCUUAUUGUUUAGGGAAGAAGACUAAUUUUCGAGGAUCGGUUCAAAGAUCGGAAUUCACCAAGUUUAAGGCUAAGGCUUACUUUUUCUGUUGUCAAAACUCAAAUUCAUUUUCUAAUUUAAUUUUACUUUUGAUCUCUUUAAUUGCUUACUUCUAUUAUCUUAAUUAUUUAAUUUCUAGACAUUUCCAACUCUCUAAUUUAUUUUUAAAAAAAGAUCGUUUGAAUUGAGUAACCGGGUUAAGGUGUUUGGGUUGUCAUCCUAGUUCGCGUAAAAAGGUUUGACUACUUCCAAAAUAAAAUAAAAAUAUUAUUAUUGCAUGAUUAAUUGAAAAUAAUACCUUGCAAAUUUUGGUUCAAACUCAAUUUAGUGAAAUGAUUUAAUUUACAUGUUUCAAUUUUGUGAACACUUGUUUAUCAAACUAGAUAUUUUGAGCACUUAUUUAUUUUUUGUCUAUAUUGUUUGCAUUGAUCAUGGAUGUGGAAAAGACGCUUGAUUUCUAAUAAGUUAUUGAAUGAUUUCUAUUGUAUGAAGUGCAAUAUGCUUGAGGGCAAGCAUGAGCUAAGUAAGGGGAUUUGAUAACAUGUUAAAUUUGCUUGAUUUUUUGUAUUUAAAUCGAUUGAAUCUUGAAUCGGUCCCUUCUAAAUUAGUGAUUUUAUGUUUUAAUUUUGUCAGGAAAACAAUUGAGAUGCUAUGAGUCAAAACAGGCAGAAAAGGACUAAUUUGCAGCACAGGCAAUAAAAUAGGGCCGAAUCAAAAACUUGGAAAUAGUCAAAGACUUAUCAGAUUUCUUUUGACCUUAUAAAAGCUAAAAUUAGAAGAAAACCUGAUUUUAUUUUUAUUUAAUUCUAAUUUUGUGUAGUGGGUAGUUAGGCCAAAUUUAGUAAGUUAUUUGUAUAUAAAUAGGGCAUUUGUGGUAGCUUGAAAACACACUUGAAUUUGCUUAAGUAAUUAAAUUAAACUAUUUUCCCUUCCAAUUUUAUGCGUGUAGCAUACUACCAUUUUAUUUCCAUUUGCUUGUUUCUUUGCAAAUUAGUUUAAUUGUUUUCCAAAUCUCUUCCAUUCUAACUUUCGCCAUUUUUCAUUCAAAUCCACUCCAUAUCCAAUCAAAGCGUGAUUAAUUUCAUGCUUCAUUAAAUUCUAACUUAGCUUUAGGCCAGUAUUCUUUCUGCUCAAAAAUCGUGAGAUACGUAUCUAUACUAAAAAUCCUUCCAAUCGGUAUUCAUUAUUUUUUCCUAAAUAUUGGGAUUGACAAAUUUAUCCCUUAAAAUUAACUCGAUUUCAAAUAAAAAAGCACGUUGGGUUGGAGUCGUAUUUGCAGACAGUUGGAGAAACGAGUCGCCCGUGAUGUAUUCGGAUCUCCGAGAACAAAUCAAAUGAGACAGUGAUCAAGUUUAAACGUCCCGCACGGUUGAGGUCGUUAAUUCGAGUUGGGUUCUUUAGAGCACAAGGCUGCCGGUAUCUUGAAUGGGGAACGCGUGUAUCUCGGUUAGAUAAUCGGUAAGGGUUGGUUUGUAGGUCAUAUCAGGACCAACUACUAAAGGAAGAAUUGGUGGUUAGGACGUUCUUAGCCGCUAUAACCAGCUUAUUGUUUGGAGAAGAAGACUAAUUUUCGAGGAUCAGUUCAGAGAUCGAAAUUCACCGAGUCUAGGAUUAAGGCUUACUUUUUCUAUUGUCAAAACUCAAAUUCAUUUUCUAAUUUAAUUUUACUUUCAAUCUCUUUAAUUGCUUAUUUCUACUAUCUUAAUUAUUUAAUUUCUAGACAAAGGGAAUCAGGGUAAAAACUUACUUUAACUCACCUACUGCAGUUCUAAGCUUCAGACUCAAACAUCUUUCUCGAACCAGCAACAACAAUUGCUUGCAGAACAUAGGAUCAACAUUAAAACUCAUUUACAUAUAAUUUAUUAUCAUCUCAAAAUCUAAUAACUCCUAUGAAAAGCUUUAUACUUACAACUUAUUGUUCAUAUACCACAUAAAGACUCAUUCUUUCAAAAUAUUUAACAUGCAGAACUGUGAUACUUACCCAGAGAUGGAAUGAUCACUGAUUAAACCAAGAAUCAUUAAAUUCCAGUUUAAUGAGGAAAAGAUACCGUUGGAUUAAUGAAAAAGAAUCAGAAAGUAGCAUUGAAGGAAAAAGAAGAAUCCUCUUCAAAACCCUUUUCACAUAUAUAUAUAUGACUCAUCCUAACUAGUGGAACUUAACAAGUGUCACAUAUUUCAGAAUUUGUUUUCCUAAUGGUUUAUAGUUUCUGAGAGCAACAUAAAUGAGGAUUAUGUAUUAUAGAUAUCAGGUUAGUCUAUCCAGUUGGUUCCUAACCAGAUUACUUUACAACCUAACUAGCACAAUACUUCAACUAACAUGGCGUACAAUACUUUUGGCGAUAAUUCAAAACGUACUUACCCCUUAUUACUUAACAUUAUCAUUUCCUUUAAAUAGCAAAAUAUCCUAAAACAAAAUUUUCAUUUACUUACAUGGCAAUUACUAUACGUUCACACCUUUGCGCCAAAAGAAACAUAUGGACAGAUUACACUUCGCCAAACAAAUUCUUUUUCCGUUAUACGCCAAAAUCUUAGGUUCGCCAAACUUAAGGUGUGACAAUUCUCCUCCCCUUAAAAAAAUUUCUUCCUCGAAAUUUUCUAACUUUGGAUAAUUUCAUUAAAUAACUGAAACCUAACUUUUUGUGUCAGGCGUAUACCACUAAUUUGGCGGAUUUAGAAUUUUGCAGCUACCCACGUAAAUUCAAACAUUACAUAACUUACCUUUUUGAUAGAUGUAAAAAUUGUAUUAGAGAACUUGAAUAGUUUUCACGAAUUAAACUUCUUGCACAUGUUUGUUUCUAGAAAGAAUAUACUCAAUCACCCCUUCAAACACUUUUGCUAAAUCAAUUGAAACCUUAACUUUUUCUCUGCUUAAUCUUUCUUCUUUAUCUUCAGUCUCAACUUUCACAAAGGUAACAUUUUCCUUCUUUUCAUUUCCUUUCUUUUCUCUUUUUCAUACAAAAAUGGUCAAGACAAAAACUAAAAGGAGGGGUCAGAGACAAAAUAACCAAAACACAAUUCCCAGAAAUCCCUUUUCCUGAAAUUUUAUCAGCUAAAAACAAAGAGACAAGGAACUGCUAUUGAGAAUGUUUGCCUCAAUGUACGCCAAGGUUGUAAGCCAAAAAUGUAAAAUAAUAUUUCAAACUUGCAACUAAGAAAUGACAAAUUCAUACGAGUCAUCUAUAGGCUUGAAAGUGGAUUUGGCUUUCCUACAUGUUGGUCUCUUCCUCGUAAAUUUGUUUAUUCUCACUAUCAGCCAGUUGAUUCAGAAGUUGCCUUAAAGCAAUAUAAAUUACUAAAGAGGGGGUGAACACUUUAACUGGUGGAGACUAUUACAGUUAGGAAUGUCUUCCAAUAUUGUUUAUAGAAUCUAAGUCCAAACUAUCGUUGGGCAACUGACCCCAUUAAUUGGUUAGAUGAUUACAAUGUGCCUUCAGAUUCCGAGGCCUGGCCUUUUAAUGCUAUGAGCAAUCUAGCACAAGUUUUAAUUGGGCGUAUAAGGGAACCUCCCUUCUUUUUCUAUGAAAUUUGUGGGAUUCAUUCUCACUAUUGGAUAAUCAAUCAUGAUACUCUUUCUUCUUCUUCUUCUUCUUCUUCUUCUUCUUCUUCUUCUUCUUCUUCUUCUGUUGCUGCUGCUGCUGCUAAGGAGAGCGCUACUACUGCCCCUCGAAGAAAUUAGCAAUGAAGAAAAAUUAGAAGAGGCCCAGAGUAAGUGAGGGUACUCAAGAAUCUGAAGAGAGCGAAUGCCCACAACUAACACGGCAUAAACUUAGAAAGGGGUUACUAACACUAAAAAUUCUCCAAUUCUAGCACUUUAUGCAAUUCUAAUGAAAUCCGCCCAAUCUGUAGACUCUCCAACUCAUAAUGUUGAUCUUUCACUAGCUGAGGUCCCAGCAGCAACUUUACUCUCAGAAUAGCUAGUGGUUCCCACUAGUUCUCCUCUUUGAAGGUUUUCCACGUGUUCGUUCCACUCCACUUUUACUAUCUCGUUAUUUAUACGGAUUGAUCCCAACAACUUUUAUUCUAGCUCUCAAUUCUUUCAAUCUACUAAUAAAACUAGUUCUUCAUUAGAUAAGGGUUAUUUUGCAGCAUAUAUGGCCUCAACUCCUCAAACUUUUCCUGGUAUUCCUGAACUGUAGUUUUCUAAAUCAGUUUAUUAAAUUCUUCAAUAACAUCUGAACAUGUUCUAUUACAAAAUCUUUAGCGACGACCAACAGAGAAAUCUUGCCAUUACACAUACCCCUUUUGCAUAAUGUAACAAUCAUACCACACUUCAGAUUUGUUACGAUCAGAAAUAGAAAAAAUUGCAAAGUAUUUCUGACAUUUUUUAACCUAUCCCCUAGGAUUAAUCCCGUCAAAAGUAGACAAUUCUGUUUUCGGUCUACAAGCAAAAGCAUUGUUACUUGUGCCAGAGUUAGACCCUUCUAUAUAAUCGUUGUUUUGACAAUGACUGCCAUUUAACCCUGAUAGAGUAUUUGCUAGCAAUCCAGGUUGAUUUAGCUCAUAACUAUACUUUCCAUGUUCAUCAAUAAUAGUGACUUCAAUAAGGGCUCUUACAGUUUCUUCUAUUAGGAAUAGCUACAGUGAUUGAAGGUAGUUGGAUGCUUGUAUUAGCAAGUUCUUCGGCAGGGUUCUAACAUCACUAUGGGUUUUCCUUUUUGCAUCAUCAACUGUAGCAUCCUAGACGUGCAAAAAACUUGAUUUUCAGAGCAGUUUAUCAUUAUUUUCAACUAACUUGGCUUCAAUCCUUUUUCUUUGUUCUUCCCACCAAGCUAGUAUCGUCUUCUCAACUGCUUUUAAACCAAUUUACAGUGCUUGCAUUUGUUCCUGUAAUGAGUUCAACUUGGUAUUUUCUACCAUUUAUUUCUUGUUUCUGGUUCUUGCCAGUGUAAAGGUGGAUACUAAGCUAUGAAUAUCAAUUGUCACAGAAUUUGCUGUACAGGUAAAAGGUUCGAGGAAAUGAGAAGAAUGAAGAAAGGAUCAGAGAGCAUGGUAGAAUUUAGAAACAAAAAAGGUCUUAUAUUUCAUUUAUAGAAUUCUCAGUACAUACGUGCACUAUAUGUAAAAAAAAAAAUGCUACUACAUAGCAAAAUUUAGCAACUAACAACAUAUAUUGAGAAAUAGAAAGUGAUUAAAUAUUAUUUCGAGGAUAUUUUUAUAUUUUUUAUAUAAAAUUUAAAAUACAAAUGAUGUAUAACAUUUACUUUCUCAACUUAAUCACUUCAAUUAGAGUUUUAUUUAGUUUUUAUUCCAAUUUAUGUAAUUUAAUUUAAUUGAUUCUUUAUUUAUUAACUUCAGUUUAUCUCUCAAAAUUCUAUUCAACUUUUAGAACAGACUCUCUGAAAUCAACUGAUGAGUGAAGAAGAAAAACAAGAUUGAUGUUUCAAAGUAAAUGUUGGUUUUUAAGCUUUAGUUGGGCUUCUUACUUCAUUAAACCCUUUUAUAUAAAUUUGGACUUGAUUUUCUUUAAACUUACAAGCUAAUUUGGGCUUGUUAAUUGAAUUAAAAAUAGGCUUAGUCUAAGAUAUUGUUUAAUAUAAAAUUUAAUAUUUUGAUGAUUAAAUUUUAAAUCUUUUGAUAAUUCGUAAUAAAAAUCAGAAUUAUAAAAAAGUAAUAAAUAAAUAACUAUUUACCGCUUAGCAUAAUAAUUUCAUUUCAUUUCUUUUAACAUUAUAGUAUCCUUUAAACCAUAUAUCAUCCUAUAACCAAGUGUAGAAAUAACACUCUUUUAAGAAAAAUAAAGAUAUAAAUAUAAAAUAAAAAUUUUAUAAUUCACAUUGUGUAACAAAUAUAUUAUAAAAUUUUAUAUAAUUAAUAAAUAAAACUUUGUUUGAAUUGAUAAACUACAAAAGUUAAAAACUAUAAAAGUUUGGGUUUUUUUUUUAUUGUUAUGUUUUAUAUAAAAUAUAAAAUGAUAAAAAAAAAUCAUCAAAUACAAUAUAAUUUGUAAUGUUAGAGUUGUGUGACUUAAAUUCUUGUUAAAAUAAAAUACAAGUGGCAAGAUAGGGGUUCUACGAGGGCAAAGGCUAGUGCCGAAGUGAAAUCCAUAUAGAAGUUUACUUCCUCUAUUUGAUGUUGAUUAGAAUAAAGUAUUUUAACUUUACUGCAUUACUUUUAUUUGACUUUGAUUAAAUAUAAUUUUACAAACCUAUAAAUAAACGUAGCCUAUAUUCCUAUUGUAAAAUUCGAAUUUCGACAUAGUAAAUUUUAUUCUUCUUUGCUCGUUGUUUUUUCCCGAAAGGAUUUCCACGUAAAAUUUUACAUGUUCUUUUCUCUCUUUCUUUGCAAUUCAUUGUCAUUAUCGGCGUUCAAUUUUUCACAUGUAAAGUAAGAGUAUUUUCAUCAAUACUCAAUCGAUUUAAUGCUUGAUUGGCUCAUGACAGUAACUUAAUCAAGUGCUUAAUAUAUAGUAUGAAUAAAAGAAAUGGGUAAACUACUUAAUUAGCCACUGAAUUUUUGCAAGUUCUUAUUUUAGUCACCUAAUUAUGACAAUUUUUAAUUUGAUCACUAAACUAUUCGAAUUUAUUUUUAUUAAUCACUGUGUCACUAAGUUUGAAACAACUAGAUGAUGCGGCCAUUAUAAACUACAUGAAUGGUCACUCAACUAUGAGAGUGUUUCUGUUUUGAUAAUCCAACUAUAUAAAAAAUUAUUUAGUCACUAAUGUUUCCAAAAUUAAUUUUUUUAGUAACAUGCCAUUAAAGUUAUAACAAACGUUGGACAUGGCCUUUUUUUAUUGGUCUAAUAACAAAUCUUACCAUUCAAUAUUUAUAUGUUCUAUCAAUUUAGUCUUAAUUCUAAAAAAUAUCAAUAAAUUUUAACUCUAAACAUUCUUACUAGUGUUUGGCUCUAGAAAAUUUUUUAAUAGUUUUUUAUUUGACGCUAGUAAGACUUGAGUUUUUUAGGCACAAAAGAACCACUAUUUUAACAUAAAAAUUUACAACAAAAACAAUAAUAAACAACUUUCUGACGAUUUAUUAUCUCUUUGGCGUCGGAAACUAAAAACCUUUGAAUUUUCUAGUGUCGAAAAAACAUUGUUUAAUCUAAAGUGUUAAAAAAAAUUUACCAACAGCUUAAGAUUUUUUGUGGCAUAAGAAACUAGAAACCUUUGAAUUUUAUUGCAGUGAAUAACACCACCUAACAUGAAAUUAAUAAAUUUUGUAAAUAUUAAAUGUUAAAUUUUUUAAAUUUUUUAAAAAGUUGAACUAAUUUAUAGAUGAUAUAAAUAUUGAAUGACUAAAUUUGUUAUUAAAGAUAUGGUGACUAAAAAAAUUUAAUGAUUAAAUUAAAAUUUUUUUAUAAUUAGAUAAUUAAAACAAAAACAUUCUCAUAAUUAAACCAUCAUUAAUAUAGUUUAUGACAGUCAUGUUAUCCAACAGUUUCAAAUUUAAUGGCUAAAAUUAUAAAUUUAAAUAAUUUAACGAUAAAUUAAAAAUUUUCACCAAAAUAAAACACAAAAAAUUCAGUAUAUUGAAGGAAAUUAACGUGGUAUUCGUUUAUCCUUUUUGGAGCGGUCGUAUAAUCACCGUUGAUAAAAAUCCGAAUUUUGGAUAACAUAUUAAGUAAUGUAGUCCUCUCCACAUGUUAAUAGGGUGCAGUGUAGUGCUUUUUGUCCCUGUGCAUCCGUGAGCCACACAUUAAUUAACUUUUAUUCUAUACGCUAUACAUGUUAAUAGAUUUGCUCCUAAAUUUGACAAUUUUCUCAUAUUAAUCCCUAAAUUUCUUUUAUCAUAUUGGUUAUUAAGGUUGGCAUGUGUUAUAUAGACUGGUCUCUACAUUAACACCGUGUAUUUUUUAAGAAUUUGUUGAUGUGGAUAAGUAUGGGGUUAAAAUUUUAUUUUUUAUAUAUUCAAUUUUUUUGAAUUUUUUUCAAAAUUUAAAGUUUUUUUUAAUGUUUUAAGAAAAAUGAAUCUACAUGUCGUCCCUUUAUUUCUUCACGUGUCGCUCUCAUACUUGUCCACAUCAGCAUAUUCUUCAAAAACAAAUUGUGUUAGUGUAGGGAUUAAUAUGUUUAGUGGAUGUCAAUUUUAGGGACUAAUAUGAUUCAAAAAAAAAUAGAGGUCAAUGUGAGAAAAGUUGCCAAAUUUAGGGGUUAAUCUAUAUAUUAAGCCUUAAAAAACUAACGAUGUUAACAAUAAAGACCAAUUUAUGUAAGAGAUGCCAACUUUAGGAAGUAAUGCGAUAAAAAAAAAGUUUAGAGCCAAUUUGAGAAAAGUUACCAAAUUUAGGGGUCAAUCUAUAUAUUUAGCCAAAAAAAAAAAAAACUAAUGUAUAACAUUCCUUUGAAGUAUUAGUUAUAAGUUUAAACUUUGAUAUUGUAUUUUUUUUAAGUAGUUUUUUAAUUUUUACAUAAAUAUUUAUUGAAAAGAAUAUUUUAGUUAUUUUCUACUGACUUUGAUCCAAUUAGAGGGAGAUAUAUGCGCUCUUCUGGUUCUAGCCUAGCCCACAGGAUUAUGAUAAAAAGUUCACUGUUUUUGGAUUUAUUCAAAUUAACUUUUUUUCUUCAAAAGAAUUUGUUUUUGGAUCAUUCAAAUCAAAUUUAUUGGUUUAAAGUUUUGCUACUUUUUUUUUUAAUAGUGAAAUACUCAUUAAGUCCUUAUCAAAUUUGUUAGUUCCUUCAAUUUUUUUUACUAACUAAAUUCUGGAUUUUGUAAAAAAAUAAUUCCAGCAUAAAAUAAAAUUUAUCAUAUUAUUACAAAAAAAAAUGUUUUAACUUUUAUAAGGGAAAUUAGUAAAAUUUAAAAAUUUAUCACAGUAUUUAGAAUAUAUGUCUGUAUUUAAAAUUUCAUGUAAUAAAUGUUUUAUAUGAAAUAGAAAAUUUGAAACUAAUAAUAAUAAUCAGAUUAUGGUAAAUUCAUAAUAUGCGUGAAAAAUAAAAUUAUGUAAUAAAUAUGUCUUUUUAAAAAUUGAUAUAAAUAAUAAAUGAGGUUUUAGCUUAAUGGUAAAAUAUAAAUCAUAAAUAUGGAAAAUUAAAGAGACAUGGAUUCAAAUUUUAUUGUGUGUAUAUAUUUUUUUAUUUUUUAUUUUUGUAAAAGAUAUAAAAUGAUAAAAAUUCCCUCAAAAUAGUAUAAUUCACUUUGUAAAGUGAGGAUAUUUUUGUCUUUUCUAAAUUGAGUUGAUACAUGAUUAACUCAUGAUAUCAAUUUAAUCAACGGUUUAUGAUAAAUUAGAAAUUUUAUCACAUGAGUAUGCGUAUGGAAACUACAUAUUUAGAAUACAAAUAUAUGUUUAAAAAUAACAUACAAUAAAUAAUGAAAUGUAUGGUUUAGAAUUAAUUAAUAAUAUAAGAAAUAUGUAUGAUAUUAAAAUAAAUAAAAUUAGAUUAAAUUGUAAGUAAAACUAAAUUUAAACAUAUGAAUAUAUCAUUAAGAAUACUAAAUGAAUACAAUUAUUUAUCGUGGUGUUGUUAUCAAUGCUAAGUUGGUGUCGAACUAUUUUAUAACAUCAUCUCAAUUUUAUUAAUAUAUACAAUUGGCAGAGUAAUAAAGUGUACAUAAUAAAAUUAAAUUGUAUAAAAAAUAACUUUGGUCGAGUGAUAAAUUUAAGGUUUUAUUAAUGCCAGUGAUGUGAGUUUAAAUUCCUCCAUAUGCAUACCUUUUGUUGUUGUUUUUUUUAACUAAAAACACUAAAAUACACUUAAUUAAUCUUAUUUUAGACACGAACAAUUUCUCUAACCGAAUUGGUACUUGGUUAAUUUAUAACACCAACACAAUUAGAAACUUAAAUAAUAUUACAUAACACAUAUCUAUUGGAUUUACAGUUUUGAAAUUUCUUUUUUGUAUUUUAUAUCUUGUUUGAUAAACUGAAAAAUUAAGUAUUGAAAAUUUAAAUCUUGAAAAAUUAUGUGCUCAACUUAAAUUAUAAAAUCUAUUUGGUAUAUUAUUAUUUAAAAUUAAAUAUGAAAUACAAUUAAAUUCUUUGGUAAAUGUAAAUUUUAGAGGUAAAUUAUGAUAAUAUUAAAUACUUAAAAUAAAUUAAAAUUUUCUACUUGUAAGUAACUCCUUUAUCUACUUAUCAUUUUUCACACUUUUUUUAUUUUUAAAAAUAUAUUAUAUGUUUUUAUAUCAAAUAUGGUUAAAAAAUUUAAAUUAGUGAAUAUAUUAUUUUUUUAGUUGAUUUAAACUUUUCAAUAAAUUAUCAAACAACACCUAUUUUUUAUAUAUUAAAAAAACUGUUUUUUUUUAUAAUUGUUGAAGGAAAAAAAAUUUAUAGUUAAAUAAGUACACAUUUUAUUUUCUUUAAUCCAUGAAUAUCCUUAAUUUUAAUAGACAUAAUAAAGUUUUUUUUUGAAGGUAGAAGUAAUAAUAUUUUUUAUUUUUAAUAAUUCAGCAAUUAUACUUUAUAUGAGAUUUGAUAUGACAAAGGUAAAAAUUUUGCUUAUUUGGGCAAUUUUUGAAGAAAAUGGUAUUAUUAAUAGGAACAUCAACAAUAAUAAUAUAAAAAUAUGGUAUAUAGUAUAAAUUAUAAAAAAUUAUUAUAAACUAAUGCACAAAUGUCAUGGUAAUUUGAUAGUAACUAUAACAUUGGAAUAAUUUAGAAACAAACCAAAGAUGCAUCAACUUGAUCAAAUUAUUGAAAUAUGCAUUCUAGCCUUGCUAUCAUCAAAUCAGCUUAAUGAUGAACACUGAUCAACAAGAAAAAACUACCAAAAGCCCCAAGAGACCUACCGCAUCAGUGAUGCACAAAGGGAAGUCUCAAAUGAUCUAUCCUCAUCAUCAUCAUCAUCUCGAAUCUAUCGCCAUCACUAUGAUUUAUUAUGAUAAAGUCUUUCGAGAACGGUUUCUAAAAAAUCGGGUGGCACCCUUAUAUUGACAAAUCUCACAUAUACAUCAAAAUAUGACUAAUAAUUGAAAGUAAAAUAAAAUCACAUAUACUUUCAAAGAAAACAGACUAAACAAAAUAAAAACCACAAAAAAUAUAGACAAAAAAACCAUAAAAUUAUAGAAAAAAAUCACGAUAAUAUAGACUAAAAUUAAAAAUAAAAUAAAACUAUAAAAACCAACUCAAAAGUUCACCCACUACUACAAUUUUAUUUGUUUGUUUACUAUUACAAUCACAAAUUUAUUUGUUGAAAAAAUCUCAUCUAAAAUUUUAACUAAACAUAUGGGAUUAUGAAAAUUAUCGAACAAAACAUAAAACUAUGUCAAAAUUACAACAAAAUUUCUCUAUCAGUUUAAUUUUUGUAUUUAAAUUUAGAUAGAUUAAAAAAAAGUAAUCACAAUAGUUAAAAAAUUUUAAAUAAUAUCUUUUGUACAGCAUUCAUAUCAACGUAAAAUGACAACUGAUUUAAAAAUUAAAAAUAUUCUCACUUUAAUUGAAAUCAAGAAUUUUGGAAUAAAAUCAUCAAAUAAAAAUAAUUCUACAUAUUUUUAUAAAUAUAUCUUUUCACUCGAAUGUCUAAUAAUUUAAUGGAUAUAAAAAUACUUGCUCCAAAAAGUGCAAUAAAUUGAGAAAACUUUUAAUAUAUUAACAAUAUAAAAUAAAUAAAAAAUGAUCAAAUAUAUAUUUAAUAUAUUAAAAAAUUAAUAUUAAAUAUAUUUUAAAAAAUUAAAGUACGAAAAAUUAUUUAGUGAGACUGUUAGACUCCAUAGUAAAAUUAAGAGAAUGACAUGCGGGCAUAUAUCAUAUAAUAUGGUUAAAAAAUAGAUACAUUAUUCUUUCAACUAAACUCUACCAAUACAUAAUAUCCUUCAUUUUAAAGAUUAAAAGUUAGUUGGGAAGUGAGAUAUCAUGUUCUAUGAAAUCUCAUUUUUGUUUUCAUUUUAACUAAAACUUCGUUAAUUUUCAUUUAAAAACAGAAUCCUACACAAAUUAAUAUUAUAAUUUUUGUAUUUUAGAAAUGAUUUCAAGAUAUUAUUUUCUAAAUUUAAUCUAAUAUCAAUUAUUUUUGAAAAAUAAUUAGUUUGUAAAUAUAAUAUAUCAACUUUGCUUGAUGUUUCGUUGUAACAACAGUUUGAACAAAACAGACAGUGUAAAAAAUAACAACAGAAAGGAAUUGACACAGUCAACUUUUGUUAACGCAGCUCAAACACAAUAAUCCCACAUCGACAAAGCCUUGCCUUGUGAAUAAUUUUAUUCAAUAGUUGCCUAGAUCACCUAUUGGCUUAAGCUCAAUUUACCAUUACAUAAAGAAAUAAUUACAGCCCCAAUACCAACCUUGAUUGUCACAAAUCACUCACUCAAAUACUUUAUAACACAAUCAAUUAACUCUUCAAAAAAUACCUAAAAUUGUGUCACAAAACACAGCAAAGUUACACUCCAAAACUACUCUUGAUGUGUGGCAUAAAACAACUUAUUUAUAGGCCUCUUCAAGUGGUCAAUCAAUAGUAUUUUGAUAGGCUUUAAACUUCUAUUUAAAAGUUGAAAUUAUCUCAUUAAUUAUCCUGAGUAUUUAUCAGACAAAAAUCUCCAUAAAUCCAUCUUUUAGCUACUCCAAAACUCUCUCAAAUAAAUAUGAUAUUUAUCUCUAAAAAAUAGCAUUUUAAUAAUAAGACUCUCAUACUUAUCCAAUCACAUCAAUUAAUACAGCUGAUAGCCUCUCAGCUUCUAACUUUGUCAAAUAUGGCACAUCUAAGUAGACCGAACUUAACAUAAACGAAACCUAUUCAAGACCAAAAUCGAUGACUCAAGUAGAAAAACAAUUUCGUUAUAACAUAAUAUUAUGGAAUGAGCAACAACAUUAGCAACAAUCACGAUUUAAAAAUUAAAAUUAUAUAUUAUUAUGUUUUAAUUUCAUAAUCAUAUUAUGAAAUAUUUCAAAAUUGAUGAAUAAUUUUAAGAAAUAAUUAAAUAUAGUUUAAUUAAUACGCCGGUAAAAAAAAUAGUAUUCUAUAAAACAAUGGUAUAGAUAAAGGUUACUAUGACAUUUAAAGUUUAAAUAUAUAUAUUGAUAACAAUAAAUAUACUAUAUUUUAAUUAAAAAAAUUUAUACCCUAUAAAAAAACUUUCCAGUUCCUUAAAUUAAAAAGCUAAUUGUAUAAUUUAAAAAAUGUAUCCCUUAUUUAUAUAUAUAUAUAUAUUUCAAAACUAGUUAUAUAUUAAAAAAAUCGGUUUGAAUCCUAUGAUUUGAAUCCUAUGCGAUGGCUUGUUAAUCAAAGUGUUCACUAUCAUAGGUGUAGCAUGAGUUUGAGUUGCAUUAGUCGUGUUUAUUAUUCGGGCUUUGUUCUAUUCUUGUAUUUAAAAAUUAUGAAUUUAACUUGAAAAUAAAUAAUUAAAAUAAAAAAUUAAUUUAAAAUAAUAGAAAUUCCGGCUGAGUGUCAAUGUAUCUAGUAUUAAUUACGAAUAUUAUAAUGCUUUCGUGUGGUAUUCAAAACUAUAAAAGCACUUAAAAGUCGGUGUCCAACUGUCAUCUGCUCUCAAAUAUAGCCUUUGCUUUUAAACGGCCGUUAUGCCUUUUCUCUCAAUAACGGUGCCCUUUUCAGUUUUCCGUCAAUUUCUACGUAACACGUGACUAAGCCACUCCCCCAUAUAUCUGCAUGGCAUGUCAUCAUGCUUUUUCUUCUUUUCAUUUCUCUAUAUAAAUUAUCAGAUGAUGGAUGGAGUAAUGUGAGCAUGUAGGCAUCCACGAUACAUGAUGGGUAUGCGAUAGAUUCAUUUGGGUUAGGGUUUCCUGUAUCCAGCUAUUCAACAUGGCGUCACUUCAGCUCAAAUUACAUUUAUAGCCUCUAUGGUCCUAUUACCUAGUAAUUACUAUUUUUUUCAUUCUUCAAUAUUUAUAAGAUUCCUUUUACGGGUAUCUACAAAAAAUAUUAUUUUAUACAAAAAAAUAAUUAAGCGGUAAUUUUUUGUUUUUUUGUAAAUUUCCUAUUCCAUUAUUAGUUUAAGUGGUAAUUUUUUUAAAAAAAAUUAAAAAUAUUUUAAUUAUUAAAUUAUUUUUUAGUGGAUGGAUAUAACGUAACUCAUGUUCCCUUAAAAAUAUAAAUUAGUCUCUCUUUAGUAGUAAAAAGUUUUCAACUUUAAUAUAUUAUUAUUUAAAACUUAUUAUGGAAAAAAAAAUUAAAAAUAUAUAUUAUAAAAACUUUGAAUGAAGCAGUUUUAAAAUAUAUUUUUAUAAUACUUAAUUAUUUAAAAUAUUUGAGGUCAGAAUUCAAAAUUUUGACUUAAAAAAUGUCAACUUGAUAAUUUAAUUGGGACAAAAGGACAUUUGAUAUAUUCUUUAUUAAAAUUUUCAGCAAAAAAUAAUUUAUUUAUUAUCAUAAAUAUUAUUUCAUUAUACGCUAUACAAAGAUAUGUUAAAGUUUAUUUAAUCAAAAGGUAUUAAAUUUUAUUUUAAUUCAUUCAUAUUUAUAAAUGAUUAAUUUAAAUUUUUUAAGUUCAUUUAUUAUUUUUUUAGUUUUAUAUUUUUUUAAGAAUUACAAAUAUAAACAAUUUAACAUAAUUUUUAAAAUUUAGCGUUAUCAUUGUACAUGUGUAAAGCUAUUAGAUACAUGUUAGCGUCUUUUUCUAUACCAUUACGAGCUUAUAAAUUGGGGAAGAGUAUUUAGUAUCUACGACUUGAACCCUAAAUCUUAAGAUGUCAACACAAAACUUCAAUCGCUUACGGGGUGUUUGGUUCCUAGAAUGUAAAAUUACCUCUAGUAAUAGGAUUAUCGGGUACUUAGUAUAUUACCGGAUAUGUUACGUUAUCCUCUUUGGUUCAUUUAGCCAAGAUGUAAUGUUUUCCUACCGCUGUUCCCCUCCCCUCCCCUGUUGCCAUUUAUCAUCGUUGACCCCUCUCAUCUCGCUAUUCAUCCUCGUUGACUCAUCCGUUCCCAUCUCGCCAUUCAACAUCGUUGACCCAUCUGCUCCCAUCGUGAAAAAAUAUUUUCCUCCCCUCCCUGUUGCCAUUCAUCAUCACUGAUGUCUCCUCUCCUAAUGUUCAUCAUUGUCAACCCAUUCGCUCUCAUCCCACCAUUCAUCACCGCCGACUAAUCCACUCCCCUCUCGCCAUUCAUCAUCGCGAAGCUCGACCCUCACCCCUAUUUUUUCAACAAUAUUAAAAGUAUCCAUUUUUUCCUUCUUAAUAUUGUAAUUGAAAUUAUUAGGAUUUUUACACAAACAUAUAUAUUUCUUGUUUUUUUAAAUAAAUAUUUUUUUGCAUAUGUAUGUCUUGGUGUUUUAAUGUUUUUUCUUUGUUCAUUUGGUGCAUUAUUUUAUAGCAACCGAUUGUUGGGAAUUUAUUUUUAAGAAAAUUUUUUAUUAGAGAAAUGUAUUUUUUAAUCAAAUUGGGGAGUUUAGUAUUUAUUUUAUCAUCUAAUUUUAUUUUAUUUAGUUCUAUUCUAUUCUAAUUUCCAUUAUCCCUUCGAGUAUAAAGAAUUGCUUGUUUCACAUCCUCAUGCUAACAAAUAGAAUAAGUUGCACAAGGAUAUGCAUUUUCUGUUAUAACAUUGAUGGACUAAAAUUUGUUAUUUUUUUGCAUAUUGAACUGAUGCGUACAUGAUUAAUUGGCAAAAGGUUUUCUGUUUCAAGUAAAUAAAUCAAGAGGUGCGGAACAUAGGUAAGCUACUUCUAAAGUUGAUUAUCUUAUUAAUGAAAUUUGAUUUGUAUCAUUUGUUUGACACCUUCUUGGUUCCGCUCGAUAUUUUCUGCAAUAUCAAUUUUGGUGCAAGGGAAAGGACAUUGUUGAUGACUUGAUAUAAAAAAAUCAUUGAUUUGGGUUUUUGAAAUUGAUAAAGAUUUUGUUUUAGUAAUUAGGAGUUUUUUUCCACUAAGAAAAAUAUCAAUGAUGAUCAGAGUGUAGAUUUUGCAGCUUAAAUAAUAGUUUUACACCAAGUUAUUUUGAUGAUAUAAACAUGCAAUUUGCAUUAUGAUAUACCUGGCACUUUUAAGUCUAAAAUAUAUGAUCUAUGAUUUGAAUUAUGUUGGUGUUGCUACAUGCUAAUUGGGUGUGAAUUAAUAUAUGGUUGAGGUUGAAAAUAAUAAAUAUGGGGUAGAGUAACACAUUUGAUUUAGUUUAAAUUUGCAAAAUGGGUUAUGAUGGUGUUCAUUGCAAUUUAUAGCAUAAAAUCUCUUAUUAUUUUUGGUACUUUACAUAAAUUUACAAAUGCCUUAUGGUCUUUGAACAAGCUUUCUUCCUUUGUUUAUGGAUAUUACGUUUUUAAUAUCGUAGGAAUUUUAAGGAGUUUGAAGGCAAGUUAGGUCUUCAAGAAAACAAUAUUGACGGACAAAGAAGUUUAAGGACAAAUGUCUUAUGGUCUUUGAACAAUCUUUCUGCAACACCCCUAACUCAUCUCCAUCGUCAGAAUAUUACGACAAUUAACAAGUCAACUAAUAUCUCAAAACAAUUCAAAAAUCAAUUUAAAUAUUAUAAAUCAUUAUCCAUUCAUUAUUCAUAGCAUAUAUACAAAAAGGGGACUUAAAUCGAGCCUACGGAACUCAAAAAUUAGUUUCGAAACAAGUAGGUACUAAUCUUAAACAAAAAAAAUGUAUUAAAAAUUGAAAAUAUGAGUCAAAUGGUCGUGUGUCUCACAUGGCCAUGUGGUAGACCGUGUCACAAAUUGUGUGCCCAAAAUUUCUUCAAACUCAAGCCAAUUCAUCUACAAUUUCUUAGACUCCAUGCCAAACCUUUACCAUCUCAUAAACUUAUUCAAAAAGUACCAAAACAUACCAAUUUACAUACAACCUAUGUGCCUAACCAAUAUGCCACAAUUGACACGACAAUUCAAAUAUGAAACAUCAACCAUUCAUGCCAUUCAAGUCAAUCAUACCAACAUCAACAAUUACCAACAUUCAUUACCAAAAUAUGCUAUUACCUAAACAUGUGUAAAGCAAAUCAAAACUUGACCAACAACACCUCAUUACCAUCUAUCAAAUAGGUACUAAACAUUUAAUACUUCAAAGUUUCAUACAAUCUCAUUCACAACCAAAAUACCAAAAACAUGAUCAUUAACUUGCAAAUAAACAUCCUAUAUACAUGCCACAAGUAACCAACUAUCAACCUUCAAAAUUCUACUGAAUCAAGUUGAUUCGAUUGACACGUUCUGAACGUCUAAAAUCUACAGAAAGAUAAUAAUACAAGUAAGUAUAUCAAAUACUUAGUAAGCUUAUGCAAUUUAAACUUCACUUACCUUAAUUUUUUAUCAUAUACAAAAUUCAAUUUGAGAUAUAAUUUAACUUAUCAAAAUUCAACCCACAUUUUUAAUAUGAACAUUCAUUAGUAUUUUUGUUUCCAAGUAAACCAACUUGAAUAUCAUAACUGAAAUAUAAUAGUCAUCUAGCCAAUCUCACAGAUAUGUCUCCAAGACCUUAAUAACAAACCUUUCCGAUAAAAUUUCGUAAAAGACUUUAGUAUACAGAUGAAAACAGUAAUGUCUGGUUACCUAAUAUGGUCAACCUACAUGGUAAAUUUCCUGGUCAGGGCUUAAUAUUUUUGUAUUCUCGAGUUCGCAAUAGAUGCUGGAACUUGGAACCUAUUUUUGUGUUCUCAAAUCUGCAAUGUAUGUAGGAGCUCGGAACCUAAUCCUGUAUUCUCGAGUGCGUAACGUAUGCAGCAGCUCGGAACCUAUUCUUGUAUUCUUGAGUCCACAACAUAUGCAGGAGUUUGAAACAUGGUCAAACUCAUAUACCUGUAUAUGAGCAUUUACUAAUUUCAUUGGGAAAUAUCUUGAGAUACAUCAUAAUUCCAACCCAACAACAACUAAUAUUUAUAGUCUUAAUAUAAUAGAUAAAGAUAAAUGAGUGGAUUCAUAGUGUAUGAACUUACUUGUCGAAAUGGUAACGGUUCAAUUAUCAGAGACUAAUUGACAAUAUUUCCUUUUCCUCGUACGUCCUCCAGUCGUUGAGAUUCUCGAUCUAAAGUAUAAUUUGAUUUAAUUAAUCAAUCCAAACAACAUAAAGCAACAUGAAAACAUCAUGUUCCAACUCAAUUUAAUUUAUACUAAAAAUUCCUCAACUUUUACAUUUACCACAAUUUAGUCCGCCGAAACUAUUAUAAUUCUCACAUUUAAGUUUCGAUUUCAAAAUAAAUCUCAAUUUAGUCCUCCAACAGUCCAAUAAAACACAAAAAUUCAUAAUUUUCCUACACAUUUUGGACUUAUUGCAUUUUAGUCCCUAUGUUCAAAAUUAACAAUUUUUUACUUUGCAAACUAGUCCAUUGACAUAUCUAAGCUUCAAAACUAACCAAAUAACCACAAAAGCUUCAAGAAAACAUCAAUUAUAACUUUAACAAACUUUAACAGUUUCACGAAAUAGCCCCUGGGUUAGUUAAAUUAAACUCUCGAGAUUCUAGAAACAUGAAAAUUACAAGAAACAGACUAGAAUAACUUACUCAAUCCAAAACGAAAGCUUGAAUACCCAAACCUAGCUUUUGCCCCUUUUAUUUUCGUAAGAAUAUGAAGAAGAAACAAGUAAAAUAAAAAUGUUUUCCUUUUCGUUUUUUUAUUUAUUUUAUAAUAUAAAUUAUAACACAUUUUAGCUAAAUAAAAUCCCACUUAUCGUCCAUCAUUAUUAGAAAUGAUAUAUUUACCAUUUAAAUCCCUUAAUAUACCUUAAUCAUGCUCUUUAGUUCAUAAAAUCAAUAAAGAUCAAAUUUUAUAUAUUUUAACGAUUUAGUCCUUUUUCUUUGAUUAACUAACUAAAUGUAAAAAUUAUUGAACCAAAAUUUAAUAAGACACUUAAAUAAUUUCAUAAAUAUUAAAUAAUUAAUAUUUAUUGAAUCACACGUCGAAGUUGUGGUCUUAAAACCACUGUUUCCGACACUACUAAAAACGAGUUGUUACACUUUCUUCCUUUGCUUAUGGAUAUUAUACUUUUAUUAUUGCAGGAAUUUUAGGGAGUUUGAAGGCAAAUUAGGUUUGCAAAAUAUAUAUAUUGACGAGUAAAAGAGUUUAAGGGCAAAUGUCUUAUGGUCUUUGAAUAAGCUUUCUCAUUUUGGACCAAACAUGGAGUAUCUGCCACUUGAUGAAGAUGAUGAGGAUGAAGAUGUUGGGUUCAGUAAUACUUGAUUAUUGUUUACAAAUGUAAGGGAUGAUGAUAGGUAUAUAUGGAUGGUGCACUUUUGCCACUGAACUGUUUGUCUAAUUAUGAAUGUCAACUCUUACUAUUUUUUAUCUUAGUUCUUAUUCCAAUUUUUCUUUCUUUUUAGAUAUGGAUUACAUAAUAUAAUCUAAUAUAUAUUUUUUAUGUAAAGUCAGUAAAGUAUAGUUAAAUUCAAAAGAAUAAAGACUUGUAUUUUCUUCAUAUAGCAUUCAUAAUGUCAUCCAAAUGGCUAAGAAGCUGUUAAGAUGAAUUAAUGCAUCUCAAAACCUCUAUACUAUAAAUUAAUAAAUUAUAUAAUGAUUUAACAACAAUAUUGAUUUACCAAUAUCUAUUAGACUUUACUAAAAUUUAUAAAACUUUAUCUAUAUUUCCAAAUUUUCUAAACCAUUACCAAGUCUUAAUAAUUCCCAGAAUUUCUAUUGUUUUGGCAGUAUAUUUAAUGAUUUACUAAAAUUUCUAAGGGUUUAUCAAAAUAUUUGAUGAGUUACAAAAAUUUCUAUUGUUUUACCAAUAUUUAUGAGACUUUAUCAAAAAAUUUUAGGCUUCACCAAUAUUUCCAAUUUUUCUAAACCUUAUACCAAAUCCUAACAAUUACCAAAAGUUCAAUGGGCUUAUCAAAAUAUCUAAGAAUUUGCCUAUAUAUCUAACAACUGACCAAAAUAUCUAACAAUUUAUCAAAAUUUCUAUCGUUUUACCAAUAUAUCUAGCAAAUUAUUAACAUUUCUAUCAUUAUGUCAAUAUUUAUGAGACUUCACCAAAAUUUCUAAUAUUCUACCAAUAUUUCUAAAUUUUCUAAAUCCUAUAUUAAGUCCUAAUAGUUACAAUUUUUUUUUUAAAGAUUUACCAAUAUUUCUAAGGAUUCCCAAAAUAUUUAACGAUUUACCAAAAUUUCUAAAGAUUUACCAAAAUUUCUAUCAUUUUACCAAUAUUUAUGAGACUUUACCGAAAUUUUAAAGAUUUUAUCAAUAUUUUUAAAUUUUCUAAACCUUAUACCAAGUACUAACAAUUACCAAAAUUUCUAUAACACCAAAAUAUCUAAGGAUUUACCAAUAUUUCUAAGCAUUUACCAAUAUAUCUAAGGAUUUACCAAAAAUUCUAUCUUUUUACCAAUAUGUAUGAGACUUUACCCAUAUUUCCAAUUUUUCUAAACACUAUACCAAGUCUUAACAAUUACUAAAAUUUCUAUGACUUUACCAAAAUAUCUAAUAAUUUACCAAAAUUUCUAAGGAUUUACCAAUAUAUCUAACAAUUUACCAAUAACUUUAAGGAUUUUCUAAAAUAUCUAAUAGUUUUCCAAAAUUUCUAAGGAUUUACCGAUAUAUCUAACAAAUUACUAAAAAUUUUAAAGUGUUACCAAAACAUAUAAUGAUUUACCAAAAUUUUCAAUGUUUUAUCAAAAUAUCUAACGAUUUACCAAAAUUUUUAUUGAUUUACCAAUAUUUUCUAAAAUUUUACCAAUAUUUUCAAAAUUUCUAAACCUUAUACCAAGUUUUAACAAAUAUCGAAAUUUCUAUGGCUUUGCCAAAAUAUCUAAGGAUUUAUCAAUUUAUCUAACGUUUUCCCAAUAUUCCUAAGGAUUUACUAAAAUUUUUAAGGAUUUACCAAAAUAUUUGACAGUUUACUAAUAUUUUUAAAGAUUUACCAACAUAUUUAACAAUUUAACAAAAUUUCUAUAAAUUUUACCAAUAUUUCCAAAAUUUUUAACUCUAUACCAAGUUUUAACAAUCACUAAAUUUUAUUACUUUACUAAAAUUUUUGUGACUUUACCAAUAUUUCUAAUAAUUUAACCAAAAAAAUAUGAGUUUACCAACAUUUCUCUACAUUUACCAAAAGAUCUAAAACUUUACCAAUAUUUUUAUCCAUUUACCACUUUUUAUACAGAUAUACUAAAAUAUGUAAUAUUUUACCAGAAUAAUUAACAUUUUCGACUUACCAAAUUAUCUAAAACCUUACAAAUAUUUCUAUCAAAUUAUGGAUAUUUAUAUGGAUUUAUGGAAUAUCUAAUAUUUUACUAAAAUUCUUAAAAACUCUACAAACUUUUUCUAAGUUUUUAUGUAGAAACGCCAAAUUAUUUGGUUGGCCUAACAUUUUUUUUUAUGCUUUAAUCAUGGACAAUUAUUUUUAAAAAGCUGAGUAAAUGGCACAGGUAACGCCACGUGUAAGAUAAAAUAAAUGCUAAUAAUUGAUUUGCUUAAAAGGGGUAUCAUCUAUCUAUCUUAAUAAUCAACUGUUAAAAGGUCGAUCAGACGGUCUACAAUCCGUGAUCAGAUGUACUGCUUUCCUUUAAUGAACAUUCCUUUCAUGGUUUACUGUUGUAAGUGGAAUGUUUCUGCAUUUCCAAAAUCUAUUACAAUUCAGGAUGGCAUGCUAUAUCAGUAUUCAAAUAAUUAAUCUGGAAGUAUAUCAAUUUAUUUUUCUUUUAAUAUUUUAUUUAAUUUUAAUUUUAAUCUUAUAUAAAAUAUGAGAUAAAUUAGAAAAAAAAUAACUAAAUAAAAUGAAUAUAUGAAAAGAAACACAAUAUAAAGCGAUUAUUAAUGCAUCAGACUUUAUGCAUAAAAAAAUAGAAAUAUUUAUAAAAAAAAUUAAAUUAGUAUGAAGAAUUAUUUUUAAAAAAUCAUAUUUACAUUUGAUAUAACAAGGUAUAUGCUUCCAUCAUAAAUUUAUGUCAUUUUUAGUUUAAAAACUAAACUAUUGUCGUCAUCAAUUUUUCAUUUUCCUACUAUUUCUAAGUUUUGGGUUACGAUUUUCCCCAUUAAUGUUUCUGUUAAUUGUUAUUUAAUAUAAUUUUAAUUACAAAUUAAAAUAUAUUUCUUUUUAAAUUAUAUUUCCUAAAUGUAUUAAAGAAAUUCAUAAAAAUAAAGCGUAAACUAAUCAUUGGCUUUUAUUUUCAUUUAUGAAGUUGGUUUAAAAAGGGUGGUACACGUAUUAAUGUUGUUUAAAUUUCUCUCUUCUCAACUGUUUUUUUUUUUAUUAGAGAUAAACGUUGGAUCGAAUUUAGUAAAAGACUAUCGAGUUGACGAGUAAUGUUUUAUCAUUCUAAUUUAAUUUAAAUUUUUUUUAAAAUUGAGUUGAGUGAAAUGAAAUAUGAGUCGAAUCGAAUUGAGUGAAAAUAAAAAUUAAACAUAAUAAAUUAAAAUCUUAUUACAAUAUAACUAAUUUCAUGUUAGAGCACGUAAAUCUUAAACUAUAUAUAUUUGAAAACAUUUUCAAAGCAAAUAAGAAAAAGAAAACAUACUUUAGUAUGAUAAACUUGAAUCAUUAAUUAACUUAUUUAGGUCUACAAAUUAUUAUUUUAAAAAAAUUUAAAAAUUCUUUAUAUAUGCUUUAGAUUUUUUUUAUAAUUUUUUAAAAAAUAUAAAUUUUAGAAUUUUUAUAAAUAUUUUAAUUUAAAAUUUUCUCUUUUUUUGUAAUUUUUGUUGAGAAUGACCAAUUUGUUCAUUUUUAAAAUUGACAGGAAUCAAAAAGAUAUUUACAUUAAUAUGUUAUUUGAAUUACUCAAGUUAUUUGAAUUAUAAAAUUCAACUCGACUUGAACUCGAAAGUUGAAUUACUUAUGAGAUAGUUUUUAACAAGAUUAAUUUAAUCAACAAAAUACUUCUCAAACAAUUUUCUAGAACAACUUUCCACUGACCUUUUAAGAACAAGACAUCGGAAUCUGGAAUUUUUUACCAUCGGCGUCGUUCCAACUCUGGAUGGGUUAUUUUCAUAAUAACCCCCCGAUCAUUAUAAAACUAUUCAUCAAGUUCUUCCACUUUUUUAUAUUUACCUUAUUAAUCCUUUCCAUUUCAUUGUUUUCAAGAUUUUCGAAAUUUUAUCUUCAUAAUUACAAUAGUAGUCCCCAAUAUAUUAACAAAUUUUUAAUAAAAUGUUUUUUUUCCUUACAAAUCAAAUAAUUGGACAAAUAAUGCUUAAAUUAGUUAAAUUAAUUAUGAAAUUUCCAGAUUUUAUAAUACAAAAUGCAUUUCUUAAAACAUUAAAAAAAUAAUUUUGUAAACAUUCAAUAAUAAUAUUAAAAAAAGAUUGUUUCUAUGUUUUGCAGAGCUCACGAAUUAGUAUAAAAUUUAAAUUUUAUUUCUUAACCUAUUAAGUUAAAUUAUGUUAAUUUCCAAAAAUUUUAUAUGAUGUAUGAUAUCCCUAAAGCUUCAACAUUUAGAAAAAUAUUUUUAUUUAAAACAUCAAUCUUAAUUUCAUUUUAAAAAACUCUACUUAUAAAUUUAAUAGAUAAUAAGAAAUAAUUGUUGUAAAUUUAUAACGAAAUAAAUAAAAUAAUAAAAUAAUUCAUUUAAUAGCGUAAUAUAAUAUGUAUCAUAUUUUUAAUUGAAUUGCGGUGACCUAUAAUCCCUAAAAUAUGCCAAUAAUUUUUUAUUUAUAAAAUACAACCAAUAAUUUAAAAGAUACCAAUUGAUGAUAAUUAUUUAAUUUCAUUCACAUUAUAUUAUCUUUAUUGUAUUUAUACAUUUUAACUUAUACAAAAUUUAAAAUCUCAAUUAAAUUUUUAUUUGAUAAAAAAACUAGUAUAUGUAUAUAUGAUUGUUAUAACCCUUCCAAAAUUUUUUUAAUUAAUAUAACACAAAAUAAAUUAGUAUAUAAAAUAAACACAACAAAUAAUUAAUAAAAUUAAUACGAAAGAUGAAAAAAAAACAUAACAUAAAUGAACGAAUACGUGGAUCUAUUUGCAUUAAUGUAAAAGUUGUACAUAUUUUUGUAAUUUUUAUAUGAUCAACCAUCAUAUCGUAUAUGUUUGAUUUAAUAUAAAAUAAAAAAAUAAUUAAAUUUAUAAUAAUAUUUUAAACAUAAAAAGAAUACAAAAAUUCAUUAAUUUUUUUUAUUGUCUUUGCUCCCUCCCUCUUCUUUUAUCUCUUCCCUCACCUAAUGUCGAAAAUAGGAAACAGGUAGAGGUAUCCAAAAUCUCCAGUAAUAGUGUAAAGAAGAAGAAUAAAGCAAUUUCAUGUGAAUUGGGGAUUAAGAAGGUUGAUAAAAUAAAUAAAUAAAAAUCAACUUUCAGAUCUAUUUUUCUUUUUAUAUAGACAUUCCUCAUGUUUUCUUUCCAUCAAUUUCAAAUGCUCAUAGUUAAUUAAAAAAAUUACAGAAUUGAACAAAGCCAAUAAGACGUUGAAAAAUGGAUCGUCAUACUUUCCUAAUAUUAUAUUUGAAUUUCUAAAAUAUUUUAUUUUGAAUUCAACUCAUUUUUCUGUUUCAAAGUUACAAUCAAAAUCUAGAUAUCAAUAUCUGUUUUUAUUUUUUAUUUUUAUUUUUAUUUUAUCUAAUAUCUUAUUCAUACUUAUUGAGUUUUGAAGUUCCUGGUAAUAAUUUUUUCCUUUUUUAGAGGACCGAGUAUUAAAUUUUAAGUAAGUGAAUAGAGUUCAAAUAUUUGUAUAAGUAUAGCGGACUUUAAUGAUAAAUAAACGGAAAAUUAUUUGGAUUAUUUUAAGCGGAAUUGAAAAGCUUCACGAAUUGGAUGAAAUACUGUCAUGUGUCUUUAAAAAAUUAAAUAAAUGAACAAAGAGCAUUGACAAGGGUAAGUGAAUUUUUUUGCUUUAGCAACUACUCUUAGAGUUCAAUAUCCUCUGUUGACAAUCUUUUUCUGUUGGCAACCUCCCUAAUGGGGUUGGAAGAAAUUGAAUACGGACAGUUUGACUCAUUGAAAUCUUGGUAAGACGGAGUAGGUGUGUAACACCCCUUACUCGAUCUGAGCUACGAGAUGCCACAUUCGUUGUCUGAGCAACUUUAGUUAAACAAACAUAAUUUUUCCAUAAAUACAACAAUUUCUUCUAAAUAUAUGAUUAUUGAAUCAUUAAAUCAUUUCAUAUUUCAAACUAGGAUUUAUACGAGCUUAUGAAAGCUCUAUUGAUAACCUGGAACCGUUGGAGGACAAAAAUGCAACAUUUUUAAAAGUUUUCAAGUUGAUGUCACGACAUCAAUGGUUCAAUGUUGCAACUUCCAAAAUAGUAUACAAGCUUCCUUAACCGAGGACCAAAUUGCAAAGCUCUCCAAACUAUACUAGAUGGACGUCACGACCUAGGGGUUCAACAUUGCGACUUCAAAGGAUGGUGUUGCGACAUCCAAUGGGUGGUGUCGUGACUUUGAAGGCAGUAGCCAACUUUCCAACCUAAGGACCAAUUUGUAAAAAAAUUUAAACAUCAUAAAGUCGACAUCGCAACAUCAAAUAGGAGACGUCUGGACUGUUGUUCCAAUAGGGUCGGAAGCGUGUAAAUUAUUGUACUAAAAAAUCAUACAAAGUUCAAUUCCCAAGGAAGAGAGGUGGAUCACAUGGAUCUCUUAAAUACCAAGUCUUUCCUUAGACAGAAUAUCCCUUCUAUAGUAAUUUAAUAGCACAAUUAAAUACUACUAUUAUACCCUCAAAUAUUGAAAGAAAAAUAGGACAAGAAAGAACACAAGAGAUUUAACGAGGUUCGGUAAAUUAUACCUACGUCCUCGGGCACUAACACCAGAUGAUAACUUUACUAUCUCCAAAGUAUUACAAACAAAUAGAAUUCCUUAAGAAUUCUCAAAUGGGAGAAGAGAGAAAACUAAGGGAGAAAGAUUGGUUGGGAUAAAUUGAAAUGAGAAAUGAGAAGGCCUAUUUAUAGUUGAGGUUUAAGGACCAAACAAUAAAUAGCCCAUUAUCUCAAGGACCAAAAAAAAUUAUCCCUUGCCACUUUCCCAAAGUUGGUGGUUGUCAUUAUUGAUUGUCUCCCAUUAAUGUUAAUGGCAACCAUUAUUAAUUGUCUUCCAUUAAUGUUAACAAUCUCCACCUUGAAGAUUUGAUUAGGAUAAUCACAUCUUCACACACUUCCUUCAACUCCCCAAAUUCGAUAAAGCUAUCUUUUGUAGUGCCUACAAAUGCGCUCUCGAGCGCCAUACACCUGAAGGUGCUCAAAUUCUCAGGAUGUUAAUCAAGUUCAAACAAUGAUUAAACUUGAUUGUUGUUACCACCUUGGUCAUCAUAUCUGCGGGAUUAUCUGCUGUCGGAAUCUUCUGAAGUAGAAUUUUUCCUUUUUCAAAGACUUCCCGCACAAAGUGAUAUCUUACGUCGAUAUGCUUGGUUCUUGAAUGAUAGACUUGAUUUUUCGCUAAAUGAAUAGCGCUCUGACUGUCACAAUAUAAACUUAUGUGACUUUGAACAACUCCUAAGUCUUUCAACAAUCCAUUAAGCCAAAUAGCCUCCUUAACAGCUUCUGUAACUGCCAUAUAUUCUGCCUCUGUAGUAGACACAGCUACUGUAGACUGUAAGGUAGACUUCCAACUCACUGGGGCUUUCGCAAGAGUAAACAGAUACCCCGUAGUUGAACGACGUUUAUCUAAAUCACCAGCAAAGUCGGAAUCAACAUAUCCAACUACAAACUGACCAAGUGCUUCAUCCUGUUCAAAAAUUAAACCAACAUCUACGGUUUUUCGAAGAUACCGUAGAAUCCAUUUCACAGCUUGCCAAUGUCCUUUUCCAGGAUCAUGCAUAUACCUGCUCACAACUCCAACAGCUUGUGAAAUGUCAGGCCUCGUACACACCAUCGCAUACAUCAAACUCCCAACUGCAUUAGCAUAUGGGACUUUCGCCAUAUAUUCUCUUUCAUCUUCAGUCUUCGGAGAUAAUUGAGCACUAAGUUUCAAAUGAGAAGCAAGUGGGGUACUUACAUGUUUUGUGUUUUCAUUUACACCAAAACAUUGUAAUACCUUUUUCAGAUAUUGCUUCUGAUUUAAACAGAGCUUGCCUCUCGGUCUAUCUCUACUUAUCUCCAUGCCGAGAAUCUUCUUGGCCUUACCUAGAUCUUUCAUCUCGAACUCUUGAUUCAACUGAGCCUUCAGCUUAUCUAUCUCAUUUUGGCUCUUCGAAGCGAUUAACAUAUCAUUAACAUACAAGAGUAGAUAAAUGAAAGAUCCGUCAUGCAGAUUCUGCAAAUAUACACAAUUGUCAUAUUUGCUUCUUGUGUACUUCUGCCUUCUCAUAAAGCUAUCAAAUCGCUUGUACCACUGCCUCGGGGAUUGCUUCAAUCCAUAUAGCGAUUUGUUAAGCUUACAAACCCAAUUUCUACCACCAGCAUCUGUGUAUCUUUCUGGCUGAGUCAUAUAGAUCUCCUCUUCUAACUCACCAUGCAAGAAAGCCGUCUUAACAUCAAGUUGAGCUAGCUCCAAAUUCAACUGUGCUACCAAGGCCAACAAAAUUCUAAUAGAGGAAUGCUUCACAACAGGGGAAAAUACAUCAUUGUAGUCAAUUCCCUCCUUCUGAGCGUAGCCUUUAGCUACCAAUCUUGCCUUGUAGCGAAUAUCCUUCUUGCUAGGAGAUCCAUCUUUCUUUGCGAAUACCCACUUGCAUCCGAUUGCCCUUUUACCUUUCGGUAAUUGCGCCAACUCCCAAGUAUUGUUCUUCCGGAGAGACUGCAUUUCUUCAUCCAUGGCGCUUUUCCAUUUAUCACUUUCUAAGCUUUGCAUUGCUUCUUGAUAAGUGAUAGGAAUAUCAUCAACAACGGGAAGGGCGUAGGCCACCAUAUCAGUAAAUCGAGUAGGUUUACGAAUUUCUCUCCGUGGCCUUGCAACUGUAACUGGUUCUGGUGUACUUAGUGGUUCUUGGGUCAGAACCUCUUCAACCUCUAAUUCCUCCAUUGUGGCUGGAGAAUUAGACUUAUUAACUGGGCAAAUCCCCAUCUGCUCAAACUCCACCUGUUUUGGAGUACACUCCACCUGCUGUGGAGUAUUGCUCGUCUGAAUAUCUUUAUCUGCUACCUUUUUCAAUGUGGCAGAUUCAUCAAAGGUAACAUCUCUGCUACAGAUCAUUUUCUUUGUGCUUAAGCACCAAAGACGAAAUCCUUUCACUCCAGAAGUGAUUCCCAUAAAGAGAGCUUUCUUUGCCCUCGGAUCUAACUUUGACUCCUUCACAUGGUAAUAUGCAGUGGUUCCAAACACAUGUAAGGAAUCAUAAUCUGUAGCCGGUUUUCCAGACCAUACCUCCAUAGGAGUUUUUCUUUCUAAUGCAGAUGAUGGCAAACGAUUAACAAGAUGGCCAGCGUAUGUCACAGCCUCAGCCCAAAAUUGCUUGCCCAACCCAGCAUUGGACAACAUACAUCGAACUUUCUCCAGCAAUGUUCGAUUCAUACGCUCUGCCAAUCCAUUCUGCUGUGGUGUAUCCCUAACUGUGAAGUGUCGAACAAUACCAUACUCUUGGCACACAUCGAAGAACGAAUCACUUUUAUAUUCCCCUCCAUUAUCCGUCCUAAGCUGCUUGAUUUUCUUGCCAGUCUGGUUUUCGAUCAUAGUUUUCCAUUUAAGAAAAACUCUAAGCACUUCAUCCUUAGUUCUCAUGGUAUACACCCAAACUCUUCUGGAAAAGUCAUCAACAAAAGUAACAAAGUAGUGUUUUCCUCCCAAUGAAGGUGUCUUGGAAGGCCCCCACACAUCUGAGUGAACAUAUUCUAAAAUGCCUUUUGUAUUAUGGAUAGCAGUACCGAAUUUUACUCUCUUUUGCUUUCCCAGAACACAAUGCUCGCAAAAUUUUAAUUUGCAAGCCUUUGUACCUUUCAACAAUCCUUGCUUUGCGAGAAUUUGCAAGGAUUUUUCGCUGGCAUGUCCCAACUUCAUAUGCCACAACUGUAUUGAGUCCAAUUCUUUGUUGCCGGAAGCUGCAGCGACUGCUCCAAUCACUGUACUACCUUGGUAGUAAUACAAGUUAUUUUUCCUGAUGCCCUUCAAUAUCACAAGUGCGCCAUAUGUCACUUUCAAAAUCCCAUCUCUCAUAGUAACAACUGAACCAUUGGAUUCUAAGGCUCCCAAUGAGAUGAGAUUUUUCUUCAAACUGGGCACGUACCGAACAUCAGUCAGAACUCUGGUUGAUCCAUCUUUAUUCUUUAAUUGGAUUGAACCUAUCCCAACAGUUUUACAGGCAUUGUCAUUGCCCAUAUAAACAACUCCUCCAUUUAGUUCUACUAAAUCAGAGAACCACUUCCAGUUAGGGGACAUAUGAUAGGUACAACCCGAAUCCAAUAUCCACUCAUCUGAAUGGAACGACGAUGAUGAUGCAACCAGUGAUAGUUCAGAGUCACUAGUAUCAUGCUUAGCAACACAAGCAUCUACAGCAGCUUUUCCCUUAUUCUUCAACUUUGGACAAUUUUUCUUCCAGUGGCCUUUCUCAUGACAAAAAGCACAUUCAUCUUUCCCGAGUCUGGACUUUGACUUUGAUCUCCCCUUUUGAGUUUUCUUCCGAGUGUAUGAACGACCUCGGACUACUAAAGCUUCUAUAUCUCUGAUUGAGUUUUUCUGUUUGUCCUUCUUUCUCUGUUCAUAACUGUAUAAGGCCGCACAAACUUCGCUUAGAGAUAUAUCACUCCUGCCAUGAAGUAGAGUAGUUUCUAGGAACUCAAACUCCUCAGGAAGUGACCCCAACAGCAUCAAAGCCAAAUCUUCAUCUUUGAAUGUCUCAUCCAUAUUCUGCAAAUCAGUGACUAACUGAUUAAAUUUGGUGAUGUGAUCAUUCAUUGUGGUACUUGGGACGUAUGUGAAGCGAAACAGUCUUUUCUUCAAGUGGAGCUUAUUUUGACUGUUUUUCUUCAAAAAUUUUUCUUCAAGUGCCACCCACAACUUAUUUGCAGAAGUCUCCUUUGAAAAAGCAUACCUUUACUCUCGAGAAAAGCAUGAUCGAAUUGUGCCACAUGCCAACCGAUUGAUCACCUUCCAAUCUUUCUCCUGUACAUCAUCUGGUUUCUCUUCAUCAAUGGCAAUGUCUAGACCCUGCUGAAAAAGGGCAUCUAGAACCUCACUUUGCCACAUACCAAAAUGACCCGUGCCAUCAAAGAUCUCCACGGCCAAUCUUGCAUUUGCAAUUGUCGGUCUUGUCCACAUGGACGAUGUUGAAGCUCCUACACCGACCGUUUUCUCCAUAAUCUUUCAAUAUACCUAAGGAAAUCUUUUCUGAUGUGGAAGAUCAGUUUAAACUGCAACCACAGAGCAUACUACGAUUAACCUUCGGCUCUUGAUACCACUUGUUGUUCCUAUAGGGUCGGAAGCGUGUAAAUUAUUGUACUAAAAAAUCACACAAAGUUCAAUUCCCAGGGAAGAGAGGUGGAUCACAUGGAUCUCUUAAAUACCAAGUCUUUCCUUAGACAGAAUAUCCCUUCUAUAGUAAUUUAAUAGCACAAUUAAAUACUACUAUUAUACCCUCAAAUAUUGAAAGAAAAAUAGGAUAAGAAAGAACACAAGAGAUUUAACGAGGUUCGGUAAAUUAUACCUACGUCCUCGGGCACUAACACCAGAUGAUAACUUUACUAUCUCCAAAGUAUUACAAACAAAUAGAAUUCCUUAAGAAUUCUCAAAUGGGAGAAGAGAGAAAACUAAGGGAGAAAGAUUGGUUGGGAUAAAUUGAAAUGAGAAAUGAGAAGGCCUAUUUAUAGUUGAGGUUUAAGGACCAAACAAUAAAUAGCCCAUUAUCUCAAGGACCAAAAAAAAUUAUCCCUUGCCACUUUUCCAAAGUUGGUGGUUGUCAUUAUUGAUUGUCUCCCAUUAAUGUUAAUGGCAACCAUUAUUAAUUGUCUUCCAUUAAUGUUAACAUGGACAAGAUAGCCUAGUGUCGCGACAUUUAGGCUAUGAAGUCGCAAUAUUCACAAUAGCCCACUAAGUUCCCAUUUCCAUACAAUUCAUAGCUAACAUAAGACUACAAUUGAACUUGGUCAUUCCACACCUAUGAUAGAUCAUUAUACUACUUUAAUUCAACCAAUACCAUUUUCAUGCAUGACCAAUACCAUUUUCAUAUAAGCACAAUCAAAAUACCAUAAUUCCACACCAAUUUAUACCAAUUAAAGCUUAUGACAUUUAUACCUAAGUCUAACAUUUAACUACACCAUUUCCAAACUAUGCAUUAAAUUCAUCUCGUCAAUUAUUUCAAUUUGUAACUUUUCACAUACCAAACUCAAGCAAGUUCAAAAUCAUCAUUCAUAUUAGCACCAAGCUUGACCAAACUAUGCAUCAAUUAGAUUAUAAGUCAUGCUAAACACAAGCUCAACCAUUACCACCACUACAGCAAAAUAGGUUUUUAGCGGCAUUUUUUAGCGUCGCUAAAAUUAUUUACGACACUUGUAAACGCCGCUAACAUUUUGUGGCGUUUAUGAAAAAAAUGCCGCUAUAGAACAUGAUCUUUAGCGGCGCUUUUCUCACAGACGCUGCUAAAGAACAUGACCUUUAGCAGCGUCUUCCCAAAAAUGCCGCUAAAGAACAUGACAUUUAGCGGCGCUUUUCUCACAAACACCUCUAAAGAACAUGAUCUUUAGCGGCGCUUUUCCCACAAAUGCCGCUAAAGUACAUGACCUUUAGCGGCACUUUUCUCACAAACGUUGCUAAAGAACAUGACCUUUAAAAAAAUUAUUUUAAUUAAAUAAUAUUUAUUUCUAUGAUAAAUAUUAUAUUAUGUUUAAUUUUUGAAAUUUGAACUUUAAACUAUAUGCUUUUAAGGAUAAAUAAAAAAUAUUAAUUAAAUUAAAUUUUCUAUUAAAAUUUGAACUUUAAAACUAAAUAUAAAAAUUAAUGAAUUUAAAUUUAAUACAUAAACAUUGAUUUAAUAUGUAAUUUAAUACAUAAAAAAAACACAUAGACACACUCACAAAGUAUUACUAUUUCUAAAACAAAAUUCAUUCUAGUGAGAAAAGAAUGCCAAAUCAUCAUCACCUCUCAUUAAUCAAAGGAAAAAGAUCAAAAAAGAAGAAGAAACAAUAUACAACAGAGGGUUGGUUCAAGCUUAGUUGAAGCCAAAGUAUUGCAAUGCCUGCAUAUAACUUAGAGAAAUCCUUUGAUGCUUUCAAGUCAACCGCCAGAGAAUCCAAAACACCGGAACAGAAAGCCAAAGUAUGCACUUGUAAGCCAAAGUCAGGGCAGUAAGGAAAUCACUUAUACGACCCUCAAAGCCACAUAUGUCAAAGCACAUUAUCUGAUCUCUUUGAAUUAUGAUAUGGAAAGAUAAAUUUUUAAUAAUGCCACCAUAAAGGAAUCAAAAUUUGUUUCGAAAAAAGAGAAAUAAAACAUUGUUGCUAAUAACCGGAUAGACAAAAAAAACCAAACAGCAUAACUGCACAGGCUCAAGAGCAAGAGGGAAUUAAAGGAACUAACCUCCAUAUCUAAGAAUAUCCUUUUGCUGAAAAGAAUCUCAAUUGUCUGCAAUAAAUGUAUCACCAAAUACAUAUAUAUGAGAAAAAGAAAAUAAUAUUCCAUAGUUAACUCAUAUCAAGAAAAACUAGAGGUUUCACAAUACAAUGGAAUGCUUCCGUUAUUUAACAAGGAACAAUACUAUUAAUUUGCAAAAAGUAGAAUAGAAACAUGCUGCACUACUGUUGUUUAACGUUAUAUAGAAAUUAUUCUUUAGUUCUAAUAUCUAAAAUUACAAGCACAAAAGGCAAUAUCAGGGUCUGAUGAACAGUUAGAUUCGACUAAAAAUACCAGUAAAUCCAAUAAGCCCUAAUUAUAAAUCUAAAGGUUUGAAAUCUAACUUUGGAACAAAUUAUAACACAAAACUAACAACAAAAAACACAAAAUAGACAAACAAUCACGCAGCAAAACUAGAGCAAAUACAAUAAUUUUAAAAAGAAAAAAAAAGAUGAUAAAUCACAUAAAAGCUAAAAACAAGUAGCAAAGUCGAACUACGCAGGCGAUAAGAAGAAAAGAAAGUUACCUUAAUCCACAGGGUAAACUAAAAGAUAAAGCCAGCAACAAAUCCCCGAGGUAAUUUGAGUGCCUUGCAAUUCCCCUAUAAAGAAAUACUGCAAUUCAACAUGGUUUUACUUAUGUAGCUCACUUAUCUCAGUUAUUCAACGGUAUUAUUUAGAAUACUGUGGAUGAAUUACAUUGGGCAACAUGCUUUAUUUACAUGAAUAACUUGUCCAACGCAAGUCUUUCAAGUUGGUAAAUAUUAGACACUAAUGUAAUUCAUCAUUAGAUAUAAAUAGCAAUGUCAUCAUUAGAUACUGGAGCUUGGUACGGAAAGGCAACUAUUAGGAAUUAAUCCUCAUAACUAUAAAUGGAUAUGAUCAUACUCUUUUACCUAUGUCUAAAUAUAUUUUGGAUACAAGAGUCGAACAGAAACACUUUAGGGAAAAUAAAGAAUCAGUGUAACAUAGGAAUAAAAUACUUGACAAGUGGUCAAACAUACUGAAGAAUGCAACAAAUGUUCAAUAUGAAUGUUGAAGAAUAAAGAGCAGUGAAACAACAAUGUACCUCCCGAAAACCUUCAGACACAGGACCAUCAUCCUCUGAGGCAGCCAGCUCCUGCUUAACUUUUUCUAAUCCCUUAAUUAUAGCUUGCAUUUUUUCUGCUAAAUAUUUUAAUUGUACCUGCAAGGACAGAAGGCUUAAAACUCAACAUACUGUUACCAACAAGAGUUGGACAAGGAUAAUUUUAAGAGAAAUAGAAGUUUCAAAAUAACAUAGGUUAACAAACUAUAAAUUUCAUAAGCUAAAGGACUAAUGGAAACCUUAGAUGUAGCCUCAAGGCUGACCAAGUCCAAGUGAAAUUUAAGAAGUUCUGGUGUCCUGGUUGCUAGGACCUGAGCCACAAUAAAAUACAGCUGAUAUCAAUCGAAAUUGAUGGUUCAUUUUUGCAUCAGAAACAAGUGACUAGAAGUAAAAUAACAUAUAAAGUAGGUGUAAAACAUAAAUUAGUCAAUGGGUUUGUAACGGGUUCAGUGGGUGGAUUUUUGUCGGUCCUACCUUUGACCAACCUAUAAAUAUUUCCACCUGAUACUUGCCCUGAACUUGAACUUAACUUUAGGCUCUAGCACUUGGACCCGACCCCAAACUACCCCACCUCAAAACUUAAGUUCUAUUUUCAAAAAUCUACCAACUAAGUUAAAUACAUACUAUAAAGUCCAGUAAACACUAACAAACUGUAUAUAAAACUAAAAGUGUGAUAUUUUAGAAAAUAUCACUGGCUUGGGUGGUAUAGAUUUUAUUUAAAAUGCCCUUGACUCAACCCUAAAACUUUCAAUCCCUGAAACCAAUUUUCAAGAAAGAAAAAAGCCUAUAAGGUUGGGUUAAGCUGGGAUCUAAUAGGCUCAAGUUAUUCUCUAAACUUAAAUCUUACAAGAAAAAUGACCUUAAUAACACCAAUGAGGAAGAAGGAAAUAAAAAUUACCAAACCUUACAAAGGUAAUGCAUUAGUGUCAUCUUGCUAUUAGAAGCACGUGUCUUUGAGAGCUUUAGAAGACUGUCCAAAUUAAAUCCAAUAGCAGAACCAGUAUUAUAAGAAUAAUUUUGAAAAUAUUAAAGGAACACACAUCCUUACGAAUCACAUUGCUCAAGCACCCGUUUUCCAACUCAUAUUUAACGGGUAUGGUGGCAUGAUAUGUGUCGAACACAUAUCCAUAUCCAAUAACAUAGCUUACUAAAAUCUGAUAGCAACCAUCCUAAAUGAAAAGAAUACUUCAAACAUUGAAUCUGUUACUCCAAGACUACACAUAACACAAGGUUUCCUCUUUCCAGUUUAAGAAAUACUGCUCAAAAUAUGUGACUUAACCUCAUCCGGAAGAGUCUAGAUAAUAAUCAAAGUAAUACAUCAUAUGUGGUUUAGCUAGUAAAUCUCUUCUCUUGUGCUAGGAGUUAGAAAUGAGUGUCAAAUACGAUUAUAUAUAUGACACAAGUAUGUUUAGUAUUUUCAAAGUUCUUUCAUAUAUUUAGAGGGUGUUUUUAGGGGAAUAUCUCCAUACUCUUAAGUGAAUAUGUGUCGAAAGCAUGUACUUCAAGUAAAACAGAGAGUGUGAAAAACAUAGCUCUUACACGGGUAUGUUUAAUUUUUUUUAAGAUCUUCGUUUAUUUGGAGUCUUUAAGGAUCAUAUCCAUAAGCUUAUGCCUGGAUAUGCAUUGGAUACAGGUUUGGAUACAAGUACUUAAAAUAAUUAAAAAAACAUGGAGAGUCAGAGCAUCAUAGGUUCUAGCAUAAAAGACUGAAGCAAAAAGGAAAACUGAAUAUAUAAUUUACCCAUUGCAGUUCCUUGAUUCAAGGUAUUUCCCAAACAAAGGAUUUUCUUCAUGAUCUCCUUCAAUUUACAGGAAUUUCGAACCUAAAUUAAGCAAUACAAAAGUAGUUAAGAGAAUUACAAAAUACGAACAAAUAAAUAAAAACCACUCUUAAGUCAAUUCAAUAAUAUUAUGAUAUACCUCUUCACAUGCAAAAUUUACAAUGUUUAAGAUUGUUUUAAAUUCAGAAAUCUGCAAAACACAAGUAAAACAGGUGAUUAAACAAGAAAAAAUUAGUCCACCAUGUAAAGACCCAAAACCAAACAUUGUUUAUAGAAUAUACAAGAUAACUACUUACUGGUUGAACGUUUCAUGUUCCUGCAAAACUUACUGCCAUAUCUGUACCGGAAUGCCUUAACAGGAUGAUCAAGAUCAUCGAAGUCAAUACCAUAAUCCUACAAGCAGCAUGCAUAGCCUUUUACUAGGGAUAAAGAGGAAAAAAAAUACAUGAAGAAUCAUCAUUUAAUGUAUAAGAAUACUCAUGCAUACAUAUAUGCCAAAAAAAUGCAUUAGAACCAAAAAUAUUUACAUAGACUAACCGCAUUAAUUUCAUUUUAUUUUCUUUUUCAACCUUAUGAUAAGAAACAAAACUCAAAGCUUCAUAAUAAUAUAAGUAAUUAGCAAUAGAUAAUCACUCACCCAAGUAAGCUCUUCAAGUGCAUGAACUUCUCUAGUUGUGAAGAAGGCUAGCUGUACAUAGUAAACGCUCAAUUACACUUGCUAUUGCAAAGGUUUAAAGCAAGCAAAACAAACAAGACUAGGAAGGUGGAAGAAAUCAGUAUUUCAUACAUGGUAGUAACGAAUAUCCGAGGUCUCCACUUCAACAGGAAUUUCAAUCAAGUUUGCAUCGAAGCAUCUAGAAAAGUAAGAAACAAAAAAGGAUCAAAUAUUUUAAAUUUCAACUUAUUGAAGGUGCUCGGACAUUCCUUCCAAUGCAUUAGCCAUCAUAUACCUUUACCUAUAAUGGUAAUUAAAACAAAACCUCAAUGAUGGAAAAUGAGACAUUCUUGUAGGUAACCUUUUCAUUAGUGCUAACAACUCAUCUCAUGUUUGUAACCCCUCACCCUCCACUCACCAUAAAAAAGGGAAAAAAUCAAGCAAUCUCCCAACUUACACUACCUUCACUAUUUUUGUAAAGCCCCAAAUCCCUAAAUCCCUGAUAAAAUUAUUUUUGUGUGUUUGUAACAUGAAAUAUGUUUGGCUUAGUGAUUGUGUGCUCUUGGAGUGUCUAGGAAGUCACGAGUUCAAGUAUUAGCUUCCACAAAAAUUUUGCUUUUAAGGAUUAAACCCCUAUCUUAGGUCAGUAGGGUUAUAAGUAAAAGUUGUUAAAACAUGACAAAAUGGGCCUACUGGUCUAGUGGAUAGUGGCAUGUGGAGUGUGCUAGUGGUUUGAGGUUUGAAUUUCUGCUUGUGCAAAUAGAGAUUAUUUUUACUAGUGGUCGUGGGAGGAAGUUGUGUUUGACUAAAACACCAAGAGUUUGAACAGAUUUGAAUGUGGUUGUUGUUAGCCGAACUGAGGAGAUGGAGGGGAGGAAAUUGAGGAGGAAAUCGGGGAAUUUGAAUGGUUUGAAAGUGUUUAUACUGAAAUUGAACUGAUGGCACACAGAGUUUCGAUUUUGGUAGGGGUGUGUUGAGGGGUAGGUGUUAGGUUGUUGACUGAAUAGAGGUAUUCAUUUUGUCAAAAUUUCGGUCAUAGAGUAGCUAGGUGUCAAAUCCUCUCAUUGUUUUUCAGGUUUGCUAACAACUUGUUUUGUGUUCGUUCUUAUUUUUGGUCUCGGGUAGUCCCUCAAAGGUCCCCAAGAGUGCUGCUGAUUUCCCUUUGUUCUUAGCCGAAUACUACUUUCCCCUAUCUUCUUUUUUUCUAUCGAUUCUGUCUUCUCCUCUUUCUCAACUUGGCGGAUUACUUGAGUGGCACUUCUCUUCCCUUUGUUUCGUCUUUUUAUAUUGUGUUGGCCGAACCCUAAUAUCAUUUAUUUUUCUCUUGCCUAAACCGAAUACCCAUUUUCAAUUGUGUUGACUUUUAGGCUUGGGUCUUGGCUGAAUAUUGGUUAGUCUUCUUCUUAGGAAAUUUCGAUUUCUUUUUUUGUAGGCUGAAUGUAUCCUUCUCACUCAUUCUUUAUUCCACCUUAAUGAUUGUCAUUUAACACUGUGGUUCUGCUAAUUGUUUCUAGGGGCUCGAUCUCAAUAGUCAAGGGGUUAGGCCGAUUGUUCUUUCCCAAAAAGUGAUCUUUUCACUCGUGGUAAGUGCUUUAAGUACUUGAUAUAUUUAUGUUGGGUUAUAGAUUCUUAUGAAUCGGUUAACUGUUUCGUGUGAAGGUUAAAGCAUUGGAGAGGAAACGUUGGUUUUGGAACAAAAGGGGUUUUGCGAUUGUUUGAUUAGUAAGUAGCGAUAAAUCAGUUAAAGUAUUUUUAAUACUAUGGUUUUGGAUUAACCAUGAAUAUGGAUUGAUGGUGGGGUUGUUGUUAAUCAUAGGUGCUUUGAUCUCAGAAGCAUCUCGGCUACAAUUUCAUAACAAGUGUGUGUAACACUACCAUUAGAUGUGAAACGGCAAAAGCUGAAAAGCUGAAAAGCCGAAAAGUGGGCUGUCAACACCACACGGGUGGCCACGUAACAAAAUAUGGUCGUGUGGUCGACGAGAUGACCAUGGACAUUUUCAUGGGCCUAAACGAUAUCGGCCCAUUUUGGGUCGAACUGGGCCGUGUAUGCCCAAUAGGCCUGUGGGCCCAACACGGGAAAAUCACACAAAAGUGUGGUAAAUAUUGGGCCAGGCUGUGUAAACCACACGGCUAAGGCCAUUUCUGUGCUAUGUGGGCCAUACGAGCGUGUGGGUCCACAUGGCUGCAAUAUAGGCCGUGGGCCCAUUAUCAUUGAUUGACUGUUAAGGAUGCACAGGUCGUCUAAGAUAACUGUGGACCUACUGUUGGGCUGGUAAGUGUACUUGGACCCUUAUUUUUGUAAAUGACUGAUAUACCCCUAUGUGAUGUAUGAUUGUUUGAGCAUGCUAUUUAUACUGCAUAUACAUUUAUAUUAUGCUGCAUUGCAUGGGGUGGGAUAUAUGAUUUUGGAGAAAUUGUAAUGAAAUGCUAUAAACCUAUUACUGACAGUUCUGCUGCAAAUACUGUUUUAGUGCCGCAACCGGUGCUACUUGGAGUGUAUGGAUGGGUGGGUCGAUUUUAUCCUCAUAUGGUGUGUAGGGUUGGUACGGAGAUGGUGUGUAGAGGCUGGAUUGAGUAGGAUUUUCUGAUUGCAUACUGUACUAUACUGUAAUAGGUUUAGGCCCCACUGAUACUGUUACUAAAAUGGGCUCAAGCCCAGAUUGCUACUGUUACUGAUAUGGGCUAAGGCUCUAACUGAAACUGAAAGGGCUUAGGCCCAAAUUGAGUUUGCUCUGAUUGAUUGCUAUUGUGGGAUUUCACACACUGAGUUUUCGUAAACUCACCCAUCUGUUAACUGUGCUGGAAAUCCCCAAACUUAGGCGGAUCGAUACGACGGAGGACUUAGGGGUGACCACUCGACUUAGUUAACUUUAAAUAUAAUAAUUAAGGUUUAUUUUGGGUUUUACAUUAUGUAAUAAGACCUCUUGGGUUUAAUUUUUGAUUUUGGUAUUUUACUCAAAUUUCUUUGUGAUUUACAACUGCUAGUAGUAAGAAAAACGUGGGUUUUCAAAAAAGUCAAACAUUUUCAAAAACACCACAAAUACGUAACUUAUCUUCAAAGCUUCCGCGAAUAAAAAACCAUUUAUAAAAUUAAUAACGUUUUACUAAAAGCAACCUUUAAAAGUACAGGUCCCAUAUUAUGAAUAAGCAGUAAGACUUUAAAACGACUUUUCAAUCUAUACAAAGAGGCAUGUUAAAAAAGGGGUUUUUAAACGAUGAGUCUUAGAUUUCGAAAAAUACUUCAAUGUGACAUCACCAGAUCCGGUUAUGACGUUUGUGCCGAGUUUAGAAUGUUACAUUUAGUAGUAUCAGAGCCAGAUUGCAAAACUCGACUAUGGAUUUGGGCUUUUGCAAAAAUGUGGAAACUUUAAUAUAAUUGUUUCAAAUAGUUUAAAGUGAUUGAUAUAAUUUGGAAAUAUUUUACUGAAUGAGUGGUACACCGAGUCUCCCCGCCGAUCCUGUAAGUUUUCUGACUGUUUAUAUUGAAAGGGUUAUAUUAAAAUGUUAUUACUGAGACUACUUUAGGUAGUAAAACUAUAGUAAAACUCUUUAGUUAGAGUAAACUACAAACCGAGUAAGACUGCAAAUUGCGAAAACAAACUCUGAGAUAAUAUUGUUCAUAAAAUAUCUGUAAUAAACACUGGAACAAUAAACUGACUAGCAUAAAACUGUAAAUAUAGGCUAAGUGCAUUCGAUAAUGAUCACCAAAGGUACUCGUGAAAGAGGCCGCGGCAAAGGACGUGGAGGUGCUCGGGCUGAGUGUUCGUCAGCUGGACACCAAUAUAAUGAGGAAGCUAAAGAGGCACUAGCUUCAUCUAUGACUGGGACAGGGUCUUAAAAUCGAGUGGCUGGGGACGACGCACUGUCCCAAGUGAUGUUGAGGACUCUGGAAAGGGUUGCUGGGCCUAGUACUAGUACUGUGGGUCGUGGGCCUGUUACGGAAUGAAUCAGGUCUAAUGGGGCUGAGAUAUUCAGGGGUAUUACUAGAGUGGCCCCUAAUGUGGCUGAAUAUUAGAUCGAGGCCACGAAGAAGAUUAUGGAUGACUUCGACUACACCCCCAAACAGAAAUUAAAGGGUGCAGUAUCACUGUUAAGAGAUGAGGCCUAUCACUGGUGGCUUACUGUCAAAGAGGGCACUUAAGCCGAUUAAUUGACCUGAGAGUUUUUUAAGACUACUUUCCAGGCUAAGUAUGUAGUUUCCAGCUAUGUGGAUGCCCGUAGGAGGGAAUUUCUAAAUUUAACUCAGGAAGAUAGGACAGUGGCUAAAUAUGAGGCUGAAAUUUUAUGACUGAGCCGCUAUGUACAUGGGAUGGUGGAAACUGAAUACGAGCGGUGUGUUCAAUUUGAGGAUGGCCUCAAAGAUGGUUUAAGGGUUCUGAUAGCUCCUCAGAAAGAGCGGGAUUUUGCAGCACUAGUUGACAAGGUAAAAAUCACCGAAGAAGUGAAGCGCACUAAGCACCAGAACAGAGAGAAAAGCAGAGGUAAGAGGGAUGCUGAGCCCUCAAAUUCAUUUUAGAGGCCUAAGAAAAAGGCUAGAGCUGAUGGGUCGAUUAGAGUUGGGGCCCCUGCUGCUUCUACUGAAUCGCAGUUUUGUGCUGACUGUGGGAGACGCCAUCAGGGCGAGUGCUGAAAACGGAUUAGGACAUGUUUGAGGUACGGUUAUAUGGAGCACCGUAUCAGAGAUUGUCCAUAGAGGAUCAAUCAGGUGCUAGCUACUGGUUUUGGUUUUAGUAAUACACCUUAGAAGGUUGUUCAGCAGCCACCAAGAGGCCGUGAGCAGGCCAGAAGUGGAAAUGGUAUAGACCGUGGUCAGAGAGCUUCGGGCCGAGGAGCUGGUAAGGCUGAGGCAAGACAGCUAGCUCUAGUGUAUGCUGCUCAUCGUCAAGAGGAGACAGAUGCUCCAAACGUCAUCAUGGGUAUGUUCUUUAUUUAUAAUAUACCAUAUACUACAUUGAUAGAUAUAGUAUCUACUCAUUCCUAUGUUUCCUGUUUGAUUGCUAAAAACCUGGAGGUUACGGUUGAGAGUACUUCAAGCGAGAUUACUAUACUAAGUCUGUUGGGGCUGUCUGUCCUGGUGAAUAAGAUGUUUAGAGAUGUUCCCUUAAAAAUGAAAGGAGUCGUCUUUCUAGCUAAUCUUAUGAAACUGCCUUUCGGAGAAUUCAAUUUAAUAUUGGGGGUAGAUUGGUUGGUCAAAUAUCGAGUGAGUUUGGAUUGUGCCAUAAAAAGGAUGACACUGAGAACUGAGGAGGACAACGAGGUAGUUGUCAUGGGGAAAGUAGAAACUAUUUGUCAAAUGUGAUUUCAAUGUUAAGGGCCGAGAAGUUGGUACGUAAGGGUUGUGAGGCGUUCUUGGCCUAUAUCAGUGUUUCAAAUGUUGGAGACCUUUCGGUAAAGGAUAUAAAAAAAGUUAAGGAUUUUUCGGACGUCUUUCCUAAAGAGCUACCUAGGUUACCUCCAGAACAUGAAGUGGAGUUUGAGAUUGAGCUCCUUCCAGGUACAACUUCAGUGUCCAUCGUCUCUUAUAGAAUGAAACCAAAAGAGCUUGUGGAAUUUAAGGCUCAGAUUCAAGAACUUUUGGACUCUGGGUUCAUCCGACUGAGUGUGUCUCCGUAGGGAGCACCAGUCUUGUUUGUGAAAAAGAAGGAUGGAUUCAUGCGAAUGUGCAUCGAUUAUAGACAACUGAAUAAGCUGACCAUUAAGAACAAGUACCCUCUGCCAAGUAUUGAUGAUAUGUUCGAUCAACUGCGAUGAGCUUCAGUUUUUUCUAAAAGUAAUCUUCGAUCGGAGUGUCAUCAAUUGAGGGUUAAAGAGGCUGAUAUGCUCAAGACAGCGUUUAGGACUCGUUAUGGUCAUUACGAGUUCCUAGUAAUGCCAUUUGGACUGACAAAUGCACCGGCAGCUUUCAUGGAUCUGAUAAAUCGAGUGUUCCAACCCUAUCUAGGUUGAUUUUUUAUAGUAUUUAUCAACGACAUACUGAUGUAUUCGAGGACUGAAGAUGAUCAUGAUGAACAUCUCCGAGUAGUUCUACAAAUUUUAAGGGAGAAAUAACUGUACGCCAAGAUCAGCAAGUGUGAAUUCUGGUUACAUGAGGUAACGUUUCUUGGUCAUGUGGUAUCUACUGAGGGGAUUAGGGUUGAUCCUCGAAAGGUUGAGGCAGUGUUGGACUGGAAGCCGCCUAAGACAGUAUCUAAGAUUCGCAGUUUCCUAGGACUGGCAGGGUAUUAUAGAUGCUUUGUAGAGGGGUUUUCACUGAUUGCCGCGCCUUUAACUAAGCUACUACGUAAGGGUGUACCAUUUAACUAGACUGAUGCGCAGUAAGAGUGCUUUGAGAAGCUCAAGAAAGUACUGACUGAGGGCCCUGCCUUAAUACAGCUAGAGUUUGAAAAGGACUUUACUGUGUACAGUGAUACAUCACAUAUCGGUUUGGGAUGUGUGUUGAUGCAAUGGGGGUAAGGUGGUAGCGUGUGCGUCUCGACAGCUUAAGACUCAUGAGACAAAUUAUCCGAUGCAUGACUUGGAGUUAGCUGAGGUGGUAUUCAUACUGAAAAUCUGGAGGCAUUGCCUGUACGAUGAGAAGUGUUUCAUCUACUCGAAUCACAAAAGCCUUAAGUAUCUCCUCACUCAGAAGAAGUUAAAUCUUAGGCAGCUUAUAUGGAUUUAGCUACUUAAGAAUCACGACUGUAUGAUCGAAUAUCAUUCUGGGAAAGCCAAUGUGGUGGCUGACGCAUUGAGUAGUAGAGCCAUGACUGAUCUGAGGGCAACGUUUGCUUACCUCAGUUUAUUUGAUGACAGUAGUUUGUUGGCAGAACUUCAAGUAAGACCGUUGUGGAUUGAGCAGAUUAAGAAUAAACAGUUGGGGGAUGAGUCAUUGGGUCUUCGGUUCUGUUAGGUUGAAAAUGGUAAUACUCUGAAUUUUGGGCUGAACAGUGAAGGGGUACUCUGUUUCCAAGGCAGAAUUUAUGUACCUAAUGAUAUUAUUUUAAGGCAGUCUAUACUGCGAGAGGCGCAUAAUAGCCCUUAUGCUAUGUACCUAGGUGGAAAUAAAAUGUACAGAGACCGUCGUAAGAUAUAUUGGUAGCCAGGUCUUAAGCGUAAGGUUGCCAACUUUGUGAGGAAAUGUCUGACUUGCCAGCAGGUUAAAGCGAAACAUCAGUUGCCUUCUGGGUUGCUUCAGCCAGUUAAGAUUCCACUGUGGAAGUGAGAAAGAGUAACUAUGGAAUUUUUGAGUGGGUUACCCUUAACGCCUACUAAUAAGGAUUUGGUAUGGGUCUUCGUGGAUCAGUUGACCAAAUCUGCCCAUUUCAUACCGGUUCGUAUUGACUAUUUGUUAUAGAAACUGGCUAAGUUGUAUGUAUCCGAGAUAGUGAGACUGUAUGGGGGUACCAGUUUUCAUAAUAUCUAAUAGAGAUUUUCGCUUCACGUCUCGGUUCGCACUCUUUCAUGUUAGACUAAGUUGGGUGAGUGACGUGUUCUAGGCCCUGAGCUAGUAUCUGAUACUGAUGAUAAAGUCAGAUUAAUUCGGGAUCGACUGAAGGUAGCAUCAGACAGAUAGAAGUCGUAUACAGAUCUGAAACGUAAGAAAAUUGAGUAUUUUGUGGGAGAUUUUGUCUUUCUCAAGGUCUCACCAUUGAAGAAGGUACUAAGAUUUAGGCGUAAGGACAAGUUGAGCCAAGGUUUAUUGAACCUUACCGCGUAGGACCAGUUUCCUACCAGUUAGAGCUACCUCCGGAAUUAGAGCGAAUUCAUGAUGUGUUCCACUUCUCUAUGCUGAGACGCUAUCGAUCUGAUCCUACAUAUGUUGUAUCGGUUGAGGAGAUUGAAGUUAGACCAAAUCUGAUUUUUGAGGAGGAACCAGUUCAAAUAUUGGAUCGAGAUGUAAAAGUAUUGAGAAGGAAGUCUAUUCCAUUGGUUAAGGUUUUAUGGCGUAAUCACAGCUCUGAGGAGGCCACGUGGGAACCUGAGGAGCCGAUGCGACAACAAAAUCCUCACCUAUUCUAAUCAGGUAAAUUUCGAGGCCAAAAUUUUCUUUAAAAAGGGUAGAAUUGUAACACCCCAAAUCCCCAAAUCUCUAAUAAAAUUAUUUUUGUGUAUUUGUGACGUGAAAUUAUGUCUAGCUUAGUGAUUGUGUGCUCUGGGAGUAUUUGGAAAGUCAUGGGUUCAAUCAUUAGCUUCCAUAAAAAUUUUACUUUUAAAGAUUAAACCCCUAUCUUAGGUCAGUAGGGUUAAAAGUAAAAGUUGUUAAAACAUGAUAAAAUGGGCCUACUGGUCUAGUGGAUAGUGGCAUGUGGAGUGUGCUAGUGGUUUAAAGUUCAAACACCUACUUGUGCAAAUAGAGAUUAUUUUUACAAGUGGUCGUGGGAGGAAGUUAUGUUUGACCGAAACACCAAGAGUUUGAGUAGAUUAGAAUAGGGUUUUUGUUAGCCAAAUCUGAGGAGAUGGAGGGGAGGAAAUUGAAGAGGAAAUUGGGGAAUUUGAAUGGUUUGAAAGUGUUUGUGCCAAAAUUGAACUGAUGGCAUACAGAGUUUUGAUUUUGUAGGGGUGUGUUGAGGGAAAGGUGUUAGGUUGUUGACCGAAUAGAGGUUUUCAUUAUUUCAAAAUUUCGAAAAUAGUCUAGUUAGGUGCCGAAUCCUCUCCUUGUUUUUCAAGUCUGCAAACAGCUUAUUUUUUGUUCAUUCUUCUUUUUGGUCUCGAGUAGUCCCUCAAAGGGCCCCAAGAGUGCUACCGAUUUCCCCUUGUUCUUAGCCGAAUACUACUUUCCCCUAUCUACUACUUUUUUGUCUAUUAUGUCUUCUCCUCUUUCUUAACUUGGUCGAUUACUUGAGUGGCACUUCUCUUUCCUUUGUUUCUUCUUUUUCUAUUGUGUGGCUGAACCCUGAUAUCCUUUGUUUUUCUCUUGCUUAAACCGAAUGCCCCUUUUCAAUUGUGUCGACUUUUAGGCUUAGGUCUUAGCUGAAUAUUGGUUAGUCUUCUUCUCAGGAAAUUUCGAUUUCUUUUUCUAUGGUCCUAAUGUAUCAUUCUCACUCAUUCUUUAUUCCACCUUAAUGAUUGUCAUUUAACAAUGUAGUUCUACUGAUUAUUGCUAGGGGCUCGAUCUCAAUAAUCAAUGGGUUAGGCCGAUUAUUCUUUCCCAACAAGUGAUCUUUUCACUCGUGGUAAGUACUUUAAGUACUUGAUAUAUUUAUGUUGGGUUAUAGAUUAUUAUGAAUCGGUGAGCUGUUUCGUGUGAAGGUUAAAGCAUUGGAGAGGAAACAUUGGUUUUGGAAGAAAAGGGGUUUUGCGAUUGUUCGAUUGGUAAGUAGCGAUAAAUCGGUUAAAGUAUUUUUAAUACUAUGGUUUUCGAUUAACCAUGAUAUGGACUUAUGGUGGGGUUGUUGUUAAUUAUAGGUGCUUUGAUCUCGGAAGCGUCUCGGCUACAAUUCCAUAACAAGUGUGUGUAACACUACCAUUAGAUGUGAAACGACAAAAGCUGAAAAGUUGAAAAGUCGGAAAGUGGGCUGUCGACACCACACGGGCGUGUGGUCACCCAUGUGGCAGGCCGUGUGGUCGACGAGAUGGCCAUGGGCGUUUUCAUGGGCCGAAACAAUAUCGACCUAUUUUGGGCCAAAUUGGGCCGUGUAAGCCCAAUGGGCCUGUGGGCCCGAAACGGGAAAAUUGUACAAAAGUGUGGUAAAUAAUGGGGCAAGCUAAAUAAACCACAUGGCUAACGCCAUUUCUGGGCUAUGUAGGACAUACGAAUGUGUGGGCCCACAUGGGCCGCAUAUGGACCGUGGGCCUAUUAUCACCGAUUGACUGUUAAGGUUGCAUGGCUUGCCUAGGAUGACUGUGGACCUAUUGUUGGGCUGGUAAGUGUACCUGGACCCUUAUUUUUUUAAAUGACUGAUAUACUCCUAUGUGAUGUAUGACUGUUUGAGCAUGCCAUUUAUACUGCAUAUACAUUUAUAUUAUGUUGCAUGUGGUGGGAUAUAUGAUUUUGGAGAAAGUGUAUUUAAAGGCUAUAAGACUAUUACUGGCAGUUCUGCUGCAAAUACUGUUUUAGUGUCGCAACCGGUGCUACUUGGAGUGUAGGGAUGGUUGGGUUGAUUUUAUCCCCACAUAGUGUGUAAGGUUGGUACGAAAAUGGUGUGUAGAGGCUGGAUUGGGUAGGAUUUUCUGAUUGCAUACUGUACUGAUACUGUAAUAGGCUUAGGCCCCACUGAUACUGUUACUGAAAUGGGCUCAAGCCAGAUUGCUACUGUUACUGAUAUGGGCUAAGGCCCUAACUGAAGCUGAAAGGGUUUAGGCCCAAAUUGUGUUUGCUCUGAUUGAUUGCUAUUGUGAGAUUUCACACACUGAGUUUUUGUAAACUCACCCAUCUGUUAACUGUGCAAGAAAUCCCCAGACUUAGGCAGAUCAAUGCGACGGAGCACUCAGGGGUGGCCACUCGACUUAGUUAACUUUAAAUAUAAUAAUUAAGGCUUAUUUUGGGUUUUACAUUAAGUAAUAAGGCCUCUCAGGUUUAAUUUUUUAUUUUGGUAUUUUACUCAAAUUUAUUUGUGAUUUACAACUGUCAGUAGUAGGAAAAACAUGAGUUUUCAAAAAAUUCAAACGUUUUGAAAACCAUCACAAAUACGUAACUCGUCUUCAAAGCUUUUGCGAAUAACAAACCGCUUGUAAAAUUAAUAACGUUUUACUAAAAGGAACCUUUAAAAGUACAAGUCCCACAUUAUGAAUAAGCAGUAAGACUUUAAAACGACUUUUCAAUCUAUACAAAGAGGCAUGUUAAAGAAGGGGUUUUUAAAUAAUGAGCCUUAGAUUUCGAAAAACACUUCAAUGUGACAUCGCCAAAUCUGGUCAUGACGUCUGGGCCGGGUUUAGGGUAUUACAAUUGUCAUCAAAACUUAUUACUAACAUUACUAUCCAUCAACCUUGUCUAGUUGAACAUUGGGAUGGAGUGUAUUCAACUGUUAAUGCCAUAGACAAUCCAGAGGCAAGGGAAUUUUGCACAAGGUUUUACAUGUGAAUUUUGAAGUUAUUUGCAUGAAUGGGUAACAAAAUCUUUCUAACAUUUAAAAGAAAUGUAGAAAAUAGUAAACAUGUAAUCUCUAAAUAAUACGAAGAAGGGAAAAAAUGAUAUGUAGUGAGCUAGCAAAGAGAAGAGCAAUGUGCUUACAUUGAAGUAAACGGUGCUGCGAAAUCUCCCUUUGCAAGAUUUCUUUGCGUGUUUAAGUUGGGAGAAGAUGAGCUCAUCUUGAGAGCAAAUAACUAUAUUACCAAGGGAUGUCAAAUACAGACUUCUCCUUACCGGAGGAGACCACAAAUAGCUCUGCUAGUAAUCGAAAUCGUAUUGUGAUGCCUUACGAGGAAUAAUAGAAAUAAUAUAAUAGAACCUAGGUAACCUGUAACACCCUUUACCCAUAUCCGACACCAGAACAGGGUACGAGGCAUUACCGGACUUAAUCAUUCACAAAAAUACAAAAACCAGGCUACAAAAUUUCUUUUAAUUCAAAAAUUUUCAUACACAUGCAUAAUGUCCCAUACAGGGGCCUACGAAGCCCUAAACAUGCAUUAAAAGUAGUUAGGGACUAAACCGAUAACCUUAAAAAGUUUUGGAAAAACUUUGAAAAUUUCUUUCCAUGAAACAGGAUCACACGCCCGUGUGGACAUAGGGACACGCCCGUGUCCUCAGGCCAUGUAAUUCUCUGUUUAUGAUGUCAGCAUGCAAAUUGAACCACACGGCCGGGCUACACGCCCGUGUCUCCUGGCCGUGUCCCUCACACGGUUGAGACACACAACCGUGUUUCAGCCCGUGUAGUCAACACUUAGGCUAUUUUUCAAGCCUUCAUGUUACCCAUAAACCCUUACAACCUUAUACAUAUUAAAACCACGAAUCAUGACAUCAUUUUAGUGAUUAACAACUCUUUAUUAAAACAUAUCCAUAAUAUUAACAUGUCCUCUUACAUGUAAUGCAUCUACUCAUGCAAUACCAAGUCUAGAUUCCUUAAUUCACAUUCAUAAGACUUGUCAUUUUGAUGAUCACUUUUAUCAUUAUACUAUGGUUACCAACUUAUCCAUCAAGCACUCAUGUUCAACCAUUAUCACGUUGUUUUUAUAAAGUGCAAUUACUACAUCGCUAUGGCCACCUCGAUUGGUCAUAGAGCAUACAUCCAACACACAUGUCAUAUUGCCAACCAUGCAUGGCAAACAAAUAUAAUCACAACAUAAACAUUAGACAUGACAAGAAUAGUUAGGUUUACAAGCCAUAAUCAAUAUGAGCCACAUUUCAUGGCCAUAUACAUAUAACUCAAUAUAAGCCAAUACAUUUGGCCAAAGCAUAAUAACACAUGUCAAUAAACUAGAUCCCUAUACACGCCACUGACUUGAAAUUUUUAUUAUAUGUUUCAUUAUUCCAAAGGUAGUGACUUGAUAGUGUGAUGCUACCUCUGACGAUCUCCAACCCCGAGCUAACCUGACAAGCUAAAAGAAAUGGAAAGGCAAGAGUAAGCUUCACGCUUAGUAAGUCCAUAUGAAAAUAAUAAGCAAUUUAUCAAUAUACUUCCACCAAGUCUUACAACAUGAUCUCAAGGUAAUACUAUUAUAAUGGUCUUUUUUUCCUAUGUUCAGGUCAAGCUGUUUUCUCGAGUCACAGUCACUAAAUUAUUUAUAUCUGGAGUUACAGAACUCCAAAUUUAGAUAUGCUAAUUUUUCUAGAAACUAGGCUCAUAUAUAUUCUUACCAUAAAAUUUUAAUAAUUUUUGGUUUAUCCAAUUAGUACAUUUUAUUCUUCAAAGUCACCCUUGUUCUACUGUUUGACAGCUUCAACAUUUCUUUACUAAAAAUUAAUUAUCUCCUCACACGAGAUUCGAAUGAUAUUCCCAUUUGUUUUUUUAAAAUAGAUUCAUUAAGGAUUUUAAUAAUAUAAAUUUUAACUCAAAAUCAUUUUUGUACAAUUUUUAAUUAUUUUCCAAAAUUAGGACAGGGGAUUUCGAAAUCAUCCUGACUCUAUCUCACAACAAUUUAAGUAUUUCAUAAUAUGAAACUAUUUUGCUUACACCGUUUCUUCUAUGUGAAGCUAGACUCAUUAAGCUUUAAUUUAAUAUUUUAUUAAGCCUCUAACUCAAUUUCCACAAUUCUUGGUGGAUUUCCAAAGUCGGACUACGGCUUCUGUUCAAAACUGUUUUAGUGUAAAUUAAUGAUACUAAGUUUAUCACACCUUAUUAAUUCAUUUUCACCAUAUUGGUAAAGAUACAUAUUUAUACAUCAUAAGUAUAAACUUAUAAUCACAAGUUCAUCACAAAUAAUUCUCAUAAGCAUGAAUUACCCAUUUACAUCUUCCCCAAAUAUGCAUCAUAAACCGAAAUCAUUUCUCAUGAGCUUGGCAUACAUACUUGUGUUACUCAACAUGCUCAUAUUCAUUCCUUACAAAUCAUACAAGAUGAAUUGAAUUCACACCUCAUCAAUUUCAUGUAAGUACCUGUACCACUCACAACAUAGCCAUAAGCUCUAUCAUUUCGACUUAAACCUUAAAUUUCCUGUUGAACCAUUUGGAAUACCACAUGAUAAUCACUAAGCUUCAAACAUAGGGUACGAUGCCGAUGCCAUGUUCCAAGCAUGGUCUUACACUGGCUCACACAUGUAAGUUGAUGCCAUGUCCCAAACAGGUCUUACACUGACUUUCAUAUAUCGAGGCUGAUGUCAUAUCCCAGACGGGUCUUACACUGGCUCUCAUCUAUCGGUGUCGAUGCCAUGUCCCAGACAGGUCUUACACUGACUUCCAUAUAUUGAGGCUGAUGUUAUGUCCCAGAUAGGUUUUACACUGUCUUGCAUAUCUCGAGGCUGAUGCAUGUCCCAGACAUGCCUUACACUGGCUCUUAUAAUAUGGCCGAUGCAUGUCCCAAACAUGUCUUACACUAGCACACAUAUCACCCAAAUGUUAUGGCAUGAUUAUCCAGUCUAUUCCUAAGGUUCAACAGGGAGUUUAUUAUGAGAAGUCUCAUCAUACCAUUACUUAUAGAUGCAUUCAAGCCUUAUAUACGAAAUCAAACAUUCAAUGCAUAAUAACGAUAAAGUUGUAAUAUUUACGCACAACUUACUUGUUUCAAUGGAAUGUCAUAUUCCAUCAAAUUUCUAAUGUAUUCAAUCAUCACAAAAAUGUUAUUAACAUUUGGCAUCACUUUAUCAUACAUAACCCCAUCAAUAUAUAAUUAAAUACAAUCAUAUAAAAAUAGAUUUCAAGUAUAUUAACAAUAACAUGGAUAGCAUAUUUAUUUAGUUACGCGGACUUACCUCGAAUGCAAUUCCGGCUAAUUACUCCAUUUUAGUCCAUAACCUUGUACUUUCCGAUUUAAGCUCAAAUCUCGAUUUUCUUGAUCUCACAUGAUGAAAUUCACUCACUUAAUCAUUACAUUAAUUAAAACAUUCUAUAAUUCACAAUUUGGCAAAAUGAUCGUUUUGCCCUUACACUUUACAAAAAUUACGAUUUUUCCCUUUGGCUCAUAAAUCGAUUUUUAUCUAAUUUCCUCCUUUAUCAAGCCUAUCUAAAUUCUUUUUAUUACUAUAGCAACUCACAAUUUCAAUUAUUUCACACAUUUACAACUUAUUUUACAACUUUACAAAAUAGCCAUUUUUAGGUGUUUUCAUGCAAACUUCUUCCACAAAAGUUGUUUAUUACACAACCAUGACUCAUUUUCUUCCAUAAAAAUUCAGUAAACAAUAUGAAUAGUCACAUGACAAAACCCUAGACAUUCAACCAUUUUGCAAAAUAGUCCCAUCAUUAGCUAGAUUAAGCUAUAAGGGUUCCAAAAACACAAAAAUUAACAAAAAUAACCAUCAAAGUCACUUACUUGCAAGGGUGAAGAGUGGCUGAAAUUUUUAAGCUUAUAAAACCCCAAGUUUGCUGAUAUUUUUGGUGGUGAAGAAGAUGACCACUUAGUCUUCUUUUUCUUAUUUUAUUUUUAGUAAAAUUAAGUCACCAACUCACCUAACUUUGUCAAUUUUGUCAAUUCUUGUCCCCUAUGGCCGACCAAGCACCUAUUAAAGGUCUAUUUGCACAUUAAAUACCCUCAAUUAUAGUUCUCUAGGAAUUUGGUAUAUCUAUCUAGUAAAAUAAAACAUUUUCCCUUUAUGAGAUUUAGUCUUUUUUCGAAAUUAAGCUCCCAAACGCUAAAAUUAAUUCAUCAAAUUUUUCAUGCUCUUAUGAAAACAUGUUAUAAUACAAAAAUAAUAAUAAAAAUAAUUUCUCUGACCUCGGAACAGUGGUUUUGGAACCACUGUUCCGACUAGGCCUAAAAUCGGGCUGUUACAUAACCGACAGCACCCAAAUUAAAAAAAAACAUUUGAACUAAUAUAAUUGAUACAUGAUAUUCAUGACAGGUUUUAAAUAUUUAUAAUGAAUCGUUCUUGAAACUAACUAUUAUCACGAUAAAGGCAAGUGUACUUAUCGAACAGUAGUAUAGCUUUAGCAAGACCGGAUUAUCGAACCCAAAGGAACUAAAAGAACUAGUAUUAACUUUCUUUUUAUUAUCUAGCCUAAAAAAAAUAAAAGGGUUUUCUUUAUCUAACUAAUUAACUAAAUUAAGAAAUCACAGAAAAUAGAAUUGGGGAAUUACUUUUUGGAAAAACGAUUGAAUUAAGACAAUACCUAAGGAAAAAUCCACCUAGACUUCACUUGUUAUUUGACUCUAAAUCGGACGAUUUAUUCAUUUGACUUGAUCCAUAGAAAUCUAUAAAUUAUAUUAUUAUUCCUCUUGAGACUAACAACGUCUAACCCUAGGUUGAAAAAUCGAAAUCUCUUUCUAAUUAACUCCCUAGGGUUGCAUUAACUCGAUCUAUGAAUCCCCUUAUUAGGUUUCACCCUAAUCCGGUAAAAUCUUGUCACCCUAUCUCUAGGCGCGCAACCAACUCCACUUAAUUAUGACAAAUUUACUCUUAGAAAGGCUCUAUUCCUCCUCUGAAUAAGAGCUUAACUUGAAUCAAUAUCCUGGAAUAUCAAAACAAGAAGUAAGAACAUAUAAUUAAGAACAAGUCAAAUAUUUAUCAUACAAUUCAGGUAAUAAUAACAAGAUCCGUCUUAGGUUUCAUGCCCCUUAGGUAUUUAGGGGUUUUAGUUCAUAACUAAAAAGGUAAACAUCUCAGAAGAAUAAUGAAUACAAAACAUAAAGAAAAACCCAAAACUCCUGAAGGGAAAUUGAGGGGAGAUAUCUUGAUGACGAAUCCGGCUUCUAAGAUGGAUCAAUCGGCUUUCCUUGAGCAGUUCCUUGCUUCUUUCUCAUUGACUCUUUUUCCUCCUCCUCUAGGGUGUAUUUAUAGGCUUUAGAAUGCCUAAGAACCCUCAAAAUUGGCCUUUUCCGAAUUGGACUCAAUUUCAGCUCAACAGGGACAUGCCGUGUGCCACACCAGUGUGCGAUUACUUCAGGCCGUGGUCAAGCCUGUUAAAUAAGCAUGGGCGUGUGGUCCACCCGUGUAAGUCGUGCUUCGAUUCUGCCAAAUUGACACGACCGUGUGGUUUGUCCGUAUGAGGAGGUCCAGGCCGUGUUAAUUUCGUCCGUUGGCCCAUUUUCUCCGUUUUUGGCCCGUUUCUCGUUCCUUUCACUCUCCUAUGCUCACCUAAGUAUAAAACAUGAAAUUAAGGCAUUAAGAGCAUCGAAUUCACCAAGUUUAAGGAAAAAUCAUCCAUAAAAAUGUGCUAAGCAUGGGAUAGAAAUAUGUAUAAAUUACGGUUUAUCAAAUACCCCCACACUUAAGCAUUUGCUUGUCCUCAAGCAAAACCCUCAACUCAUAAUCAAAAAAAUUCUUCUCAACUUAUAAUUUCUAUCGAUAAUAUCUCAAAAUAAUCCAUAGGUAAUCAUACAUUGAAAAUUCAACUGAAAGAACAUCAAAGUUUCAAACAUUCAAAGUUGAGCAUUUUAUCAUGAAAACAUAGGUGUCUCCCCUCGUCUAAGUAAUUACCUUUGAUUCAAAAUAUCACAAAGUUUCACAUCCUCACUAAAGAUUCACUCAAAUCACUCGAGGUGUUUAAGGACAAUAAAUAAAGCACUCAAUAGUCAAUAAUGAAGAGUCAUUACCAUAGGCUUGCAUGAAAAUCAAAUCUCCACCACUAUAAAAUGAGAUGAAACAUCAAUCAAAAGGUCUUUAGAGGGUUGUAACGUGGCUUUGGUUAGAGGGUGUGGUCAUAAACUGAAAGAAAGGGUUAGAAUCGAGAUUGAAUUGAAAAAUUGCCUAACUAGAAAAAUGUCUAGUCAUCAAUUGCGUACAAUAGAGCUUUUUUCUCAGAAUAUGGAAUUUAACUUCUUUAGCUCAGAAGAUCACUACUACUAAUAUGUAUACAUGUAUUUUUUUUUAAGAAUAAGUCAAAUUUCAAAAUAGAAUAAAAAAUAGCUAAGCAACUAUUCCAACUCAAGUCUCGACAAAAAUAGGGAUCAAAUUAAUUUAGGGAAUUUCAACAAUAAUAAGUUAUCGGUUAAUAUUGAGGGUAAAUCAAUGAAUGGGUUGUUAGGCUCAAGGGGGUUCACUAAGGGUUAAUUGUGAAGGUAGGCUUUUAUGGAGUGAGUGGGUUAAACCUAAAUGCCUUUAUUAUUUUGACAUAUCAAAUCAAAUGGUGUGGUCUUGACAUGCAUAAUCAAGCAAGUUCUAGAAUAACAAUUCAAUACUAACGCACUCAUAAUGAAAGUAAGCAUGAAAGAAAUAAUAGAUGCUCUAAAGGCUCAAUAUCUCACAAAAAGUAUGGCUUUUUGAUGUUUAAACUUGUGAAUUCCAACUCAAAAUAAUAUUAAACUUGGGGAAACAACCUAAAAGUUUUUAAUUCUUCAAAAAUGAACUUAUCAUGCUUGAUUCCCUAAUGUCUUAAAGUUUAUACAAUCAAUGCAUAAAUGCCUAUGUUUUGAUUCAAGACAUAUCAAUAAAAAUCAUAAAUUAAUUAAAAUUCAUUCUAAUAGUGAUAUGAGUGAUUCACGUGAGAAAAAGACAAAAUUUAGGGAUUUCUAAUGAUGAUAUAAAAGACCCCCUACACUCAAUAUGUACAUUGCCCUCAAUGUACAUUGCCCUCGAAGUGGAGUUUUGGAGAGUAAUCGGCGUGAAAGUGGAGGAGGAUACUUCAGAGGUGUUAGAGGUUCAUUAGUCCAUAAGUCCUGCGCCGAAAGAAUAUUAUAUCUGGUGGUAGCUAUGGUCGUGGUCGAGCAGGACAUGGUAGUCGUGGAGAACCUUUCACAGUGGAGUUUCAAGUUCCUGAGUAAUACUGAGCUUUGGAGCUCUUUCUGACUAUGAUAAAAUCAGGAACUCUUUAAGAGGUAUACUGAAGCAUAAUUACUCGUAAUGAAAUAGGCGAAGAAUAAAAAUUGUAAAAGCUCAGGAUAAAAUAGUAUUAAAAGGAAAUAAAAAUAAUUUCAAAAAAUAAAAUAAAAUAAAUAAAGGUGUUUAUAGAGAAAUUGGGGCUCACGGUCGUGGGGCACGCCCGUGUGCUCUAAGAUUAGCCCGUGCGUUCUGUAAUUUUUGAAAUAGGCGCAUUAGUGUACACGGCCAUGUUGCACGGCCGUGUCGAUCUCCGUUUUCUUCUCUCACGCCCGUGUAUGAAGGCGCAUGCCCGUGUUAAAUUGGCAGGUUUACCCACAGUUUCAAAACAUGGGCGUGUUAUUUUGGCAGUUUCGCCUACGGCCAUGUCGCACGGCCGUGGCUACUUAUCGCAUCCCGUGUUGGGGAAGAAAUUUUUGUCCUAUUUUCACACGGCCGUAUCGCACGGCUGUGUUGCAUCCCGUGGUGUGUACACGGCCUACAACACGCCCGUGUGCCUAGCUCUGUGGUUCUGAAAAGCCUGUGUUCAAUGAUUUGGUUAGUAUGUUAGAUUUUUAAAACUAAAAUUUAAAGAAAGUAAUAUUGUUAGUGCUCGGGUUGUGUCCCGAGAAGCUCUUAUUUAUAGUAUAAGCUCGACUUUUCUCUCCAUUGAAUGGUCAUGGUGGUUUGAGGAGUUUAUACUCCUUAUCCCUGCUAUGAGUCUCAUCAAAAUAAGGUUUUAGGUGGAUAUUGUUUACCUGAAAAGUGCCGAAUUUGGGAUGAUUUACCUCGACUAUACCAAAUGGGAAAAUGCUAAGUACCGUAAGAGAGAUUUCUUCAUUCGGUUUGGCAGUGUCAAUGUGAGGAUCUGCGGUAUCUAAUGAAACUUUAUCUCCAACCUUAAGUUGAUUUGGUGAGGCAUUGAGCUCGUUCUGGCAUAGUUUUGGUUCAUUAUGUUUCCUCGGUUUACAUGUAAGCCAUUCAUCUAACUCCUCGAUUUGUAACAUUCGUUCUUCAUGUAUAGAUCCUUUGUUAUGGAAUGAACAUGGCUCAUGUGUGUCCUUCGAACUUAUUUCCUGCAAAAUAGGUUGCACCGCAUGAUCAGUCUUAGUAGAACAAUUUGUACAAUCACCUUCAAUUUUCGAUGCGUUGUUCGGGUUGCGAUCUUGAAGGUUGAUUGUUUCAUCUCCUACACGAAGUGUGAGUUCACCUGUGCCAACGUCAAUAAUUGUUCUAGCAGUUGCUAAAAAGGGCAUUCCCAAAAUUAAAGGAACAUUACUGUCCUCUUCUAUGUCUAAAACAACAAAAUCAACUGGGAAUAUAAAUUUGUCAAUUUUAACGAGUACGUCUUCUAUGAUACCCCUAGGAAAUCUGACAGUUUUAUCUGCUAAUUGAAUGCUUAUCCUAGUUUGUUUGGGUUUCCCUAACCUAGUUGUUUAAACAAUUUGUAAGGCAUAGCACUAAUACUAGCCCCCAAAUCAGCCAACGCAUUAUUUACAUCUAAACUACCAAUUAAACAAGGAAUCAUAAAACUCCUUGGAUCUUUUAGUUUGUUGGGUAGCUUAUUCUGAAGAAUGACUAAGCAAACCACGUUCAGCUCCACAUGCGACCUUUCAUCUAACUUUCAUUUAUUUGCUGGAAACUCCUUUAAAAAUUUGACUGCGUUUGGCAUCUACAAAAGUGCUUCAAUAAAUUGUAGGUUAAUAUGUAGUUUCUUUAAGAGUUUAAGAAAUUUACCAAAUUGUUCAUCUGAAUGGUCUUUCAUUGUCACAUUGGGGUAUGGCACACGAGGUUUAUAUUCUGUACUUACCGAUUUUUGUUCGUUUUGGCCUACCUCAUUCUUACCUUCACUUACCACCGGUUUUGGCCUUAGUUUGCCACAAAUCUUUCCUCAUCUUUAAUGGAAAUUGCGUUGAGUUGCCUUGGGUUAGAUUCAGUGUUGCUUGGCAGGCUACCUUGUGGGUCGUUCGGAAAUCAACUUGACGAGCUGUCCAAUCUGAGUUUUGAGCCCUUGGAUCGAUGCUUGUUGAUUUUUGAGUGCCGUCUUUAUAUUUUGAAAACAAGUCUCUGACACCGAGAUGAAUUUGGUUAGCAUCUCCUCAAAGUUCGGCUUUUUCUCCUACUGGUAUGGUGGUUGCUGAAAGCUUGGAGGGGGGUGGUUUCUGAUUUCCUUGGCCUCCCCAUGAAAAAUUUGGAUGAUUCCUCCAACCUGCAUUGUAAGUAUUGCUAUAAGAAUUAUUUUGAGAUCGAGGAUUGUUACCCAUGUAAUUUAACUGCUCGUUGUCCAUGUUGUGGCCAUAAGGUGGGCAUUCUGAAUUACUCAAUUCACCUUUAUUUGCUUCGCACUGCAUUGCUGGGCGAACCUAUAAAGGACUAAAAAAACCAUCAAUUUUCUUAUUCAAGAGUUCUACCUGAUUGGAGAGCAUGGUGACCGAAUCGACGUUAUAAACACCGGUUAUUUUCGUUGGCUUUGUCCUCAUGACUUGCCACUGAUAGUUAUUCAGUGACAUCUCCUUUAUAAAUUCAUAGGCAUCUUCAAGUGUUUUAUUAUUGAUGGUUCCUCUAGCGGCUGCAUUAAUCAUCUGUCGAGUCGAAGGAUUCAGGCCAUUAUGGAACGUUUGAACCUGUAGCCAAAGCGGUAACCCAUGGUGAGGGCAUCUUCUUAAAAGGUCCUUGUAUCUCUCCCAUGCAUCGUAAAGUGUUUCUAAAUCUAUCUGCACAAAAGAAGAGAUACCAUUACGUAGUUCGGCUAUUUUAGCCAGUGGAAAAUAUUUUAGUAAAAAAAUUUCAUUCAUUUGUUCCCAAGUAGUGAUUGACCCUCGUGAUAACGAGUUCAACCAUUGUUUAGCCUUAUUCCUUAACGAAAAGGGAAACAACCAAAGGCGAAUAACGUUAUCAGAAAUGCCAUUAAUUUUAAAGGUAUCACAAAAUUCCAGGAAAUUUGCCAAGUGAGCGUUGGGAUCCUCGUCCUGCAAACCAUCAAACUGAAUAAACGAUUGUAUCAUUUGAAUUGUGUUAGGUUUCAGUUCAAAAUUAUUUGCAGCAAUAGCAGGUCUAACUAUACUUGACUGAGUUCCUAUUAAAUUAGGAUUAUCAUAAUCAUACAUAGUGCGCGGAGCAGGAUUUUGAUUAACAGCAAUUGCAGGAGGUAGUGGAUUUUCUUGGUUUUCAGCCAUCUCCUCGAUUGUGGUUUGAAUAUCGUCCUCUUGCUCAUUCUCUGUGUAUCUUAAACUUCACCUUAUUUCUCUUUGGUUUCUGCGAACUGUGCGAUCGAUCUCACUGUCAAAAAGUAAUGGUCCUGACGGGUUUCUUCUAGUCAUAAACUAUAAGAACUUGCCAGAAAAAGGGAAAAAACGAAUUAGGAAUAAAAAUUAGAGUAAAAUUUAAAUUGCAGAAAAAGUAAAUGGCUAAAGUAAUAAAAAUCGAGUUUUCCUUAUAUCUUAGUUCCCUGGAAACGGCGCCAAAAACUUGAUACGUGAUAUUCAUGACAGGUUUUAAAUAUUUAUAAUGAAUCGUUCUUAAAACUAACUAUUAUCACAAUAAAGGCAAGUGUACCUAUCGAACAGUAGUAUAGCUUUAGCAAGACCGGAUUAUCGAACCCAAAGGAACUAAAAGAACUAGUAUUAACUUUCUUUUUACUAUCUAGCCUCAAAAAAUAAAAGGGUUUUCUUUAUCUAACUAAUUAACUAAACUAAGAAAUCACAGAAAAUAGAAUUGGGGAAUCACUUUUUGGAAAAAUGAUUGAAUUAAGACAAUACCUAAGGAAAAAUCCACCUAGACUUCACUUGUUAUUUGACUUUGAAUCGGACGAUUUAUUCAUUUGACUUGAUCCAUAGAAAUCCCUAAGUCAUAUUAUUAUCCCUCUCGAGACUAACAACAUCUAACCUUAGGUUGAAUAAUUGAAAUCUCUUUCUAAUUAACUCCCUAGGGUUGCAUUAACUUGAUCUAUGGAUCCUCUUAUUAGGUUUCAUCCUAAUUCGGUAAAAUCUUGUCACCUUAUCUUUAGGCGCGCAACCAGCUCCGCUUAAUUAUGACAAAUUUACUCUUAGACAAGGUUUAUUCCUCCUCUAAAUAAGAGCUUAACUUGAAUCAAUAUCCUGGAAUAUCAAAACAAGAAUUAAGAACACAUAAUUAAGAAUAAGUCAAAUAUUUAUCAUACAAUUCAGAUAAUAAUAACAAGAUCCGUCUUAGGUUUCAUCCCCCUUAGGUAUUUAGGGGUUUUAGUUCAUAACUAAAAAGGUAAACAUCUUAGAAGAAUAAUGAAUACAAAACAUAAAGAAAAACCCAAAACUCCUGAAGGGAAAUUGAGGGGAGAUAUUCAGUCUUAAUGAUGAAUCCGGCUUCUGAGAUGGAUCAAUCGACUUUCCUUGAGCAGUUCCCUGCUUCCUUCUCCAUGGCUCUUUUUCCUCCUCCUCUAGGGUGUAUUUAUAGGCUUUAGAAUGCCUAAGAACCCUCAAAAUUGGCCUUUUCCGAAUUGGACUCAAUUUCAGCUCAACAGGGACAUGCCCGUGUGAUACGCCCAUGUGCGAUUACUUUAGGCUGUGGUCAAACUUGUUAAAUAGGCACAGGCGUGUAGUCCACCUGUGUGAGUCGUGUUUCGAUUCUUCCAAAUUGACACGACCUUGUGGUCUGUCCGUGUGAGGAGGCUGUGUUAAUUUCGUACGUUGGCCCAUUUUCUCUAUUUUUGGCCCGUUUCUCAUUCCUUUCACUCUCUUAUGCUCACCUAAGUAUUAAACAUGAAAUUAAGGCAUUAAGAGCAUCGAAUUCACCAAUUUUAAGGAAAAAUCAUCCAUAAAAAUGUGCUAAUCAUGGGAUAGAAAUAUGUAUAAAUUACAGUUUAUCAUGCCGCCUAAUUAGCUCGAGGAUCAUCGGACAUUGGAGGCAUCAAUCACACCAUCAUCCGAAGCACUUGGUAUAGUUAGAUCUUUUAUUUUGAUCAUAGCAUGUAUAGGACCUUGACUUUUGAGUUUUGUGUCAUUGUUAAUUAAUUGGCCAAAUGUAUUGGCUUAAUCUAAUAUUUGUUUCAUUUUGUAUAAGGCCAUGGAAAAUGGCUAAUAUUGAAACUUAUUAUGUGAAUGCAAACUAGCCUUUCAUGAAUGUGAAUUGUUGGCAUGGUUGAAUACAUGUAAUGUAUAUAGGUCUUAACUAUGGUUGUUUGGUUGAUGUUAGAAUCUGUUUCAGGGUGGCAAAAGCUUGUUAGAUAGCCUUAUAUUGUCCACACGGGUGUGUGUUUAGGACGUGGGUGACACACGGUCAGCCCCAUUGGCGUGUUAUCCGACCAUGUGUCCUGUGCACGUAAAAUUUGCAAGUCAAUAUGCAUGGUAGUAAAUACACGGGCAAAGACACGACCGUGUGUCUCAGCCAUAUGGAGGACACGGCCUCUGGCCACGGGUGUGUGCCUUGGCCAUGUGCCAUAAAUUGGAUGCUGACGUCAGAAACAGAAUGUCAAGAAUUUUAGACACAGGCUAAGACACGAGCGUGUCAUGACCGUGUGAGGGACACGAGCAAUGGACGCGGGCGUGUGUCAGACCGUGUGAAAACCCCUGGAGGUUCAAAUUUAGAAUUUAAUUUGCAUAGGCAUGGAACAUGGGCGUGUCCCUAGAUGCUUAGGCUAUGUGUGUUACACGGGCCAUCAGUACGACCAUGUUAUAAUGACCACAUGGGCGUGUUGCCCUUCCACACAGGUGUGAGCCCUGUUUCAAGAGUCAAUUUUAUUAAAUCGGUUUAAGGACUGGAGUUGGUUCUGAAUGGUUUCCAAUGAAAGUUUGAGGUCUCGUAGGCCUACAUUAAGGAAUUUAAACAAAGUUCGAAAAAAUUUUAAAUUUGAUCAAGUCUUGGUGACUAAGAAAUGUUUGAAUGCAUGUGUUUAAGUUUAGUAACGCCUCGUAUUCCGUCCCGGCGUAGGGCAUGGGUGUAGGGUGUUAUAGUCAUAUACUCAAAAAACUUUAAAAUUAUUUGAAAUAAUAGUAUUUUAAUUUUUUUCAUUUUUAACAAAUAUUUUUCUAUGUUUUUAAUUUCAAAUCUUUUCAACGUGUCAUUAUUUUUUCUGAAGAAUUUAAAUAUUCAAUUAAAAAAUUGUAUUUUAAUUAAUAUAAAUAAACCAGUUAAAUAAUAAAUAAACAGAUAAAAUGUUUUUGCGGCGUUUUUAAAAAAGCGCCGCUAAAGCUUGAUCUAUAGCGGCGUUUUUCAAAAAGUGCCGCUAAUGGUCGACCUAUAGCAGUGUUUUUAAAAAAACUAAAAAGCGCCGCUAAUGCUCGAUUUAUAGCAUUGUUUUUCAACAAACGCCGCUAAUGCUCGAUCUAUAGCAUUGUUUUUCAAAAAGCGCGCUAAUGCUCUAUCUAUAACGGCGUUUUUUUAUCCAAACGUCACUAAAAAUGCUACUAAAAAACCGUUUUGCUGUAGUGCACAUUUACCACAUAACCAUCAACUAAAAAUGACCAUUUGCACAACAAGGUGUGUGCCCUUGUACACAUGCCACAAUAUUUAGAUUCAAAAUGGACAUAAUUCUACCAUUUCAUUGAUAGUGUGUGCUUCAUGUUGAUCCGGCUCAACAAUGUUCCCCAAGGUGAUAAGCUACAAGUAGGAAAGAAAUAGAGUAAGCAUAUAAAUGCUUAGUAAGUUCAAAUGGAAAAUGCUAUGUUUACCUUGUUUAUGUACAAGCAUGUUAGAUACCUUAAUUUCGCAUAAGUUUGGCUAGGACAUGGCACUUAAAAAUAUCAACAAGUGAGCAUAAGUAUCCAUGUUCAUUAGACAAUAUAAGUAGCUCAAAAGAUACCACCAAUUCAUAUCACAAUCACAUAGCUUAUCUCAAAGACAUAUUCUAUCAUCAAUCCUUAAGAACAUAUCUAUUCGAAAAGGGUCAUUUUCAAUGUUACAAUCCAUUAUUAAUAUAUAAGUUAUAUCAAACAUACACAUAGUUCAAUUCAAUGGCAUGUUCCAUUAUUAAUCUUUAGGAUUAUGCUCAAUACACAUGAAUCAAUUCAAUAGCAUAUCAAAUUGGCUAUGAAUCUAUUUAUGAGUUUCAAAUUUCAUUUAUAUUGUUUUUCCUAUUGGAACCCUAGUAAAACGGAAUCAGAUACACGGGUAAACUACACCACACUAGUUGUUCGUCUGGGUUGAAUAUAUUUGAGGUUACUCAUCCGAGAUAAACCUAUAUCAUGACACAUCAGGUUACUCGUCUAAGCUAAACUUGUGUCACAUAAUACUCGAGAAUCAAUAAUGAAUAUUAGAUUUCGUCAAAGUCUGUAAUAAUCCUCGUUCAAGCGUGCAUAAGACCCUAUUGCAUGCCAAUUGUAUCUUAACCUUUUACUAAGUUCACACACAGGCAUCAUUUACAUAUAUAACAUUACCAAUCAUUGUAAACAAUUGUUUUCACUUCAUUAUCCCUUACAAUUAUCCAUAUUUCAUAUCGUACACUGUACAUGAUCACCUGUUUCAUUUACAUCUAUUGUAAUCAACCAGACUUUUGCAUUUGUACCCAAUAUUGUUACAUUAGUCAAUUAUCACAUAACAUUUCAAUUCAGUCUGUUACAAGCCAUACAUGCCAAUUUCACUAGUGUUCCAAUUAUAUUCACACAUAUAUAUAUAAUCAAACACAAAAUUACACAUAAAAUAAACUAAGUAAGUUCCAUAUGAACUUACUUGUUCAAAUUGUGAAAUAAGUGGAUAAUUUAGGGACUAAUCUGUAAUUUUAGCAUUUCCUCUAUUAGCUCCAUUUUGAUUCAAAUCUUGAUCUAUACCAUUGUUUCAUAUAACCAAUCAAUACCAAAAAUUUUCAUACUAUGCCAUGAUAUGCAUGAUCCUAUAUGAUUUCAUUUUUCAAUUUUUCCCAUAUGUUACAUUUUUUAAUUUAGUCCCUGAACUCGGGAUAAACAUAACUUUCGAUUCCUAUCUUCGGAUUAAAAUCUAAUUUCAUAUAUUAUCAUUAAAGACCUUAUACUUACUAUUACUAACCUAAUUUAUUGACAAGUUUUACAUUUAUUCUAUUUGGUAUCUAAUAAAACAAAGUUAACAAACAAGCUAAAUUAACUUUACAAUCUAAUCUUUUCCAUAAUCUAAGCUUUAAAAUCUAUCAAUUUCAAGCCUAAUUCUUUCUGAAAUCAACAAUGACAACUUUCUAAAACUUUAACAGUUUCACAAAUUGGUACAUGAGCUAGUUAAAUCAAGCUUCCAUGACCCCAAAUCUAUAAAAAUUGCAAGAAAAUGACCUAACUUACUUACCAAAUUGAUAGUUGAAUAGUAAGAAAAUUUUUGAAGCUUUCUACAAUGCCUAGCUAUGGUGGAUGAUGGAAUGGAUGAGAAAGAAGAUAGAUUUCCACUAACCUUUCCUAUUUAUAUAUUACUUAAAUGUUAAUUAACCUUAUUUAAUUAAUUAAGUUAUGAUUUACUUAACAUAAUUAACUUUUCAAUAAAUCUCAGUGGAAUUCCCCAUCAUCAUCCACUAUCACAUGAUUAAAAAUGGUUUAAUUGUCAUUUUAGACCUUUUCCUAAUUGCAAUUUAAGUCCUCAAGCCAUUGGUCAAUUUAAAUUUUAUAACAAUUAAGCUUUUACAAAUUAGUCUCUAAGCCUUAAUUAACUAUCAAUUUGACAAAAUUAAUCAACCAAUCUUUAAUAUAAUUUUAUAUUAAUCCCGUAAAUAUUCAUAUUUAAUAUUUAUGGACUCGGUUUACAAAAAUAAGGUUCCGAAAUUGCAUUUUUUGGUACCAUAAAAAGUUAGGCUGUUAGACGGUGCAAUUAUAAGAAGCCACGAAGGGAACUAGAUCAAAGGUUAUUGUUGGCACAUCUCUAAAGCGACUAGUAUGGAAACAAAUCUAUGAGCAUUAAGAGACAGACUAAACUGGUUAAAGACUUGAACAUCACAUGCUUAAAGGUUGAAUUUAUGUAACUAUUGUUAUUAGCAUAACAUGUUACUUGCUACUUUGAUUCAUGAUUGUAGGAUGGUCCUAGCUACUUUCCAGAAUUGUGGCAGAUCAUGAGUCUAAGUCAACUUUUGAUCCUUGCUCGAGAAAGACAUGUAGAACACUUAGCCUAGAUAAGCAAUAAAAAGGGAACUUAGAUUGUACAAGAGAAUUGGGAGAAUGAGGAAGCAUAUUACUCAAAUGAAAGCUAGCUUGAUCCUACAAAUGAAGGAGAUGAGCCUUUAUUGUUGGAAAAAAACUGGUUCAAAAACAGUUUUCUUGCACAGCGGAAAAAUAAAAAAUUUGAAACAGAGACAAUUUGUAAUAUUUAUAGCAAUAAAAUUUUCUCGAAACCACACCUAUGUUCUGGGCUAAACGGAUUAUUAUCACUCCCUAGCUUUCAAUCAAAUGACCUUCUCCACUAUUCUUAUACCAUGAACUGCUUCAAGUGUGAACUUGAACACUUUCGAAUCAAAUACAGGAAGAGAAAAUAUUUUCUUUACUUUUAGUGGGAAAAUAAAACUUUUUCUCUUUUAGAAACCAAUAGAAUUGUUAUUCACAAAAUAUAUAAUUUAUACUUAGAAAUAAAUUCUCACUAUUUUCAGGUAGAAUUAUAAUAUCUCAAAGUUAUGUGUAACUUAUUGCCUUUUUUAGCCUUACUAGUGUUAUCUAUUUAUAGGGAGAGGAAGUGAAACCCUAAUUGAAUUAGUAGAAUGCAUUUAAUGCCUAUUUGAUAGAAAAACAAUCCCUUAGUUGAACUAAGAGAUAGAGUGACUAAUAGGGUGUGCUUUCCCUCAUAUGUAUUAUGAUGGGGAUUUGGGCCUCUCCUGUCGACUGCCUUCCUCUCGAGCAACAAGAGAAAGAUAAAUCAACACUGGGACUAAAACGAAUAUAAAUAUCGCAGCUUACUACAAGUGUGACAUGUUAGUUGUAAUAUUUGUAGUAUUACAAUAGAACACAAGAGUAUUCCAAGGAUAAAUUCAACCUUUUGUUAAGGGGAAAUUUCGAGGAUAAAUUUAAUGUUUAAAAUUCUUCAAAGUUAGAAAUUUCGAGGAUGAAAUUUUGUUAAGGGGAGAAGAGUUGUAACACCCAAGAUCUGUAAAUAUUACAACUGACCUGUCACACUAUAAAUUCUGGAAUUUGAUAAAUUCAACCUUUUUAACAUUUAGUGAUAUUGUUUUCUAGUAAUUUACUAUUACUUUAUUUAAUUUUCCGUUUUAGUAAUUAAUUAAUAAAAUGAGCAAUUUUUACUGUUUUAUGAUCUUUUAGGCCAAUCCAAGCCUAAAGGAAGGCUAACAUGCUAAUUAAGUGUGCAGAACACCAAUUCAGGCCAAGGAGUCAAUAGACUUCCCUCGAUGUUGCAAAACCUAGCUUGGAUGUCACAACACCACUCCCAAACCACCUAAGGAGAAUACUACCCUCGAUGUAGUCACACUAACCAUGCUAUGUCGCAACACCCAACCUAGACGUGUAAAGGAGCAUACUACAUUUGAUGUCACGACACCGCUGCGACGAGGCCACAUAAAUUUUCAAGGGUGUUUUCGUUUGAAUAACUUCAAUUAGUUAUGAUUAGUCAUUUGUAUUAGGUGUAAAUGAGCCAUCUAACAUGAAUCUUAUAAAUACUAUUGCGCUAGACCUGAUUAAGGACUGUUUUUCCUUGUUUUAGUUUGACUUUCCUAGAUUAGGGUUUUUAUUUAGGUUAUUCCUUGUACGACUUUCUUAAUUUCAAUUCCAAUUCUAGUUUUAAUAUUAGAGCUUCAAUUGUUCGUGUUUCUUACAUCCAAUCGCCAAUCAUUCAACAUCUGUUAAGUGAUUUAUGUUGCUAUGUAUAAUCAACAUCUUCGAAUCCAAAAUUCUCUCUUCCCUCUUUUUCUCUUGAUAUUUCUUUGAAUGUAUAAAAUAAAUUUAGGGACAUUGGUAUUUAGAUCUAUGGAUAAAUAAACCCUAUGGAAGAUUAACGAGUGGAUGCGAGAUUAAUUAAUAAAUGUUGUAAGGUUUCUUCGAGAAUUAGUCGGAUUAAGCUGAGUGAAAUUAAACCUUAGGAUUGAUGACCCUAUGAUGUUAUUUAGGUAAAUAAUUUGGGAGAAUAAGUCUACUGUGCAUCUCUCAACUUGUCUCGGUUUGAAUUGUGAGGUUGGGAGAUAAGUAGUUCCUAUUGACAAGUUAAUUUAGUUAGAGGUCGGGAGGUAAAAACUAGAUUAAUUCGUGGCUAAUUAGUAAAACCCUAAAUUGGUAGCUAAGUAUGAACACUAAAAUGAGUUAGUCUUCUGUUUGUAUAUUUAAGUAAUUUUCGAUUGUUUAUUCUAUUUUCGUAUUUUGCAUGUUUUUUCCUAACUUAUCUCUAAAUUUGCUUGUUCGUACUAUGGUUUUAUCUGAGUACUGUUUAGAAUUAUAGUGUAGAUCAGGCCUCCAUUGGGUAUAAUCCUCAGAAUACUCUGUGUUCCAUUGUAAAAACUAUAUUACAAUCUGAACCGCAGACUUGCAGACACCGCCUCAUUCCAGAUAUUUUGUUACACUAUUUAUAUUCUCGACGUUCGCACGUCGAUAAGCGAUGAAGUUGUUGGCGCUGUUGUCAGGGAGACUUCAGCAUUUUAUUAGUUUUUAAUUUCUGUAAUUAGUAACCCAAAUAGGAAAAUUUUAAGUUAUAGAUACGACUUUUAUUUUUUUAUUUAUAAUUUUUAUUAUUUACCUACUUCUUUAAUUUUUUUCUAAUUUCAAUGUAUGACUUGAAGCAGGGGCACCCUAUCGAAGCAAUCACCAAUCCAGAGAGAAUAAUUAAACGUAAUCGAAGGUAGCAACAACAAUAGAUGGAAAAUAAUCCACCAGUUCUAGCUGGUCCACCAUAUAAGAAUUCAUUAUUUGAAGAUCCACCAUAACCAAUAGCACCGGUACAAAUAGAGACACCUAUGGCACAACAGGAAAGAACUCAACGCAAUUAUAUGCUACCCAUUCCAGAUAUAGUGCAAGGCGGAAUCGAUAGGCUAUCAAUUAAUUCCAAUCAUUUUGAAAUCAAGACAACCAUUAUCCAAAUGAUACAAAAUAAACUGCAGUUUUAGGUUAACAUCACUGAGAACCUGAAUCAACAGUUGAAACAUUUCUUUCAAUUAUGCUAUAUUUUUUAGUUUAAUAGGGUCACCGAUGACACUAUUCAUCUGAGGUUGUUCCCCUUUUCAUGUGAUAACACAUUCAUUUGGCUAGAUUCACAGGCUCCAAGUUCGAUUAUUAUAGGGGAGGAGAUUUUCGUAUGGUUUUUGCACAAAUUCUCUCCAAUUAAUAAAACUAUCCAGCCGAGAUGCGAUAUUGCUAACUUCCGUCAAUUAGAGGGUGAGAAGUUAUAUGAGGCGUGGGAACGACGUUUUAAACUAUUGUUGAGGAAGUUUCCCGAUCAAGGUAUGCAGGAGUGGUUGCAAAUGCAAAUUUUUUAUAAUGGGUUGGAUGGAAAUUUUAGGUCUGGGCUAGAUAAAGCAUCAAGAGGGGCUUUAAUGAAUAAAACGUACGAAGAUACUUAUUAAUUGAUCGAAAAUAUGGCCAUUAAUUCAUGUAUAAGACCAAACGAAAGGUUUACCUAUAUUUUGAGACCACCAAUGGUUAAAUCUGUCCAAGAGGAGGACAAAUACCAGCAAAUUUUAGUCAAGGUGAACCAUUUGGAAACCCAUGCCACCAAACCUUUAUUGCAAGAACUAGUUUGAACGAAUGGGCAGUACUUAGAAAGCAAACCUAAUGAGGUGAAUUAUUUGAAGAAUAUGGGUGGAAACCCCUAUUCCAAUACAUAUAAUGUGGGUUAAAAGGAUCAACCCAGUUUAAAGUAGGGAGGUAAUCAAGGAAGGGGGAACUACAUGCAAAACUGAUAGAAUCCUCCUUAUCAAUCUUCAUACAUUGAAAGAGCUCAGGAGAGGCCCAUGAUAAAUGAUCAUAAUACAUGUGGUCAUGGAAUGGACAAAAUAAAAUUGGAGAUGCAGUAAUUGAGAACCGAAAUUUGAUAGGUGUAGUAUGAUUGCUCCCAAACCUACACUCAAUUGGUUGACAUCAGUGACCAACUUAACUAGAUGAUGAAUAUGAUUAUGAGCCUUGCACGAAAAGCACACCAUCCCCAUCUAGACUAGAGGAUAGAUGAAGAAGGGACGAAGAAAAUAUUGUAAGUUUUGUAAACAUUUUUUAAGUCCCUUAAUGUUAACCCUAAUUGAACUAUUAAAGAAAAUUUCAUAAUAUGCUAAGUACUUUAAAGAAAUAAUGGCUAGGUAUAGGAAAAUUAAGAAAGGGGAAAAGAUUAACAUAGAUGAUUCAUGCAGUGUGAUAAUGUAACGCACCAAACCCAACCUGAUUCACCGGGUUUGGAUUUCGAGUGUUACCUCACAAAGCUAAGCCAUUAACUAAAACAAUUUACAAUUUUCCAUUUCUUUAAAUGUUUUCUUUGACAUAUUAUUUAAAAAAUUAUUGUUUGAAAUCAAGAGAAGUAACUUAAAAUAAUAUUAUAACAACAUACUCAAUAAAAAUCCUUACAAAAUGAAAGUUUAUUUAAUACAGACUCAAAAUACUUAUUCCUAGACUACAUCACAACUUCACUUUAUGCAUAAUAGCCCACUCCGCCCCCACCACCUUGGCGUACUCCUAGCGUUGUCCCUUCAAGCAAAGUCUCUUAUCAAAUACCUAAAAAGCAAACACAAAUCUUGUAAGUACAGGAGUACUUAGUGAUUUAUUAUAACAAUACAUUUAUGGAUACUUUGCAAUCUUGUAUGAACUACUGUGUGCCAAUUAUUCCGCAUCAUUUAUUUCUGUGGAUACCAUCACAGUUUACCAUUCUUUUAUACACCAACUAUCAUAUUCUUGUCAUAAUUAAUCAUUCUUGUCUAACUAACUGAGGAAUUCUUCUCAACGUUUCAGAAAUUUCUUGUACCAUAAAAAUUUCUUAAUUAGAACAUACCCUCAGAAAUCACUUCCAACAAUCCAUGCCUUAACCCAUUCUCUUAUUUCAUACAAUUAUUCACUAACAUUUAUUACGAGGAGAUACAUAUAUUUUCGGUGAAUACUUAUGCAGAAUUUACUACCAUCAAUUCAUACUCAGACAUACCCUGAUUCAGUACCACACACAUCCAUAUUGAUAUUUGACAAAUUCCAUAUCAUUUUAUACCAGAAUCCCAUAACAUAAGAUAACACUAAUCUAGAUUCAACAUAAUACUAGAAAAAGAUACAAUACCUCUCACUUUCCAUAAUUAUAUAUCAUCAUAACGAAUAUCCUUUUUAACAUACAAAUACGCAUAUAUUUCCUAUGGAAACCAUUAAGACUUAUUCACCCCUAACUCAAAACAUAUCAAUACAUCAUUUUAACCAUACUUAUUAUAGAACUAAAAGAACUUACUCAUAUCUUACCAUAGAAACAAAUAUUCAGACUCAAAUCAUACUACACCCUCGUAACAGUUCAUGCCACGUAGACCAAACAAAGCACGUCAUUCAGGCAAUCAUAUAGAAUCUCUUGUUUACUGUCCCAACGAGCUUCACAGAACACAUCAAAGGAAAACAAAUGAUAUACCGAACGCGUUAUAAGUCCUUAUUACAGAAUACGCUCUAAAGCAAUCUAAUCAAUGUAUGCCAUAAAGGAGAUCCCUACAGAGUAUGCCACAAAGGCGAUUCAUUUAGAAUACGCCACAAAGGCUGACAUGAUGCCACGCAAAGAACCCCAUUAGAUAAAAUGUCAUUCAACAGUUCCUUUUUAAAGUAUUCCAUGGUCAAUGACUUUUUUUACUUCAGAGUUCAUAUCAAAUUUCGUGUUUAUAAUCUCAACAGCCUUCUUUAUUUACCACAACAGUGACUCGACUCAAUUUAUAAACUUUAUGAACCAAACACAUCCCAGAUCCAAGCUUUCAUAAUUUCAUAACACUUUUCAUACAUCCUAUAGAACUUAUUUUCAAGCAAGUUAAAUUAUCUCUUAAUCUAAUCAUAACUUUAUUCCUAAGUAUCAUAUUCAUUCCAUACUAUCCAUGAUUUCCAAUUUAUAAUUGGAUCACUUUCAAGUAGAUAUACUUCUAUAUGAACAGUAUACAUGCAAGAGUCAAAGUAGAAACUCACCUAAUCCUUACUUAUUGCAGUUCGAAGCUCCAGAUCCAAAUAUUCAUCUCGAACUAGCAGCAACCACUGCUUAGGAACCUAAUUUCACUACCACUAUUCCUUUACAUACAAAUUAAUUAUUAUUUAAAUCACUGACAAUCCCAUGAAGAAACCUUAUACUUACAAUUUCACUGUUCAAUUAUCACAUUCAGAUUUACUCAUUUAGAACUUAACAUGCAGAGCUGAAAUACUUACCCUAAUGCGAAAUAACCACUGAUCAAAAAAGAACCAUAGCUUUC
rnacentral:lncRNA from 1 species